rnacentral:lncRNA from 1 species
AAUUUCUUCCAUUCAACCAACUGGCAGCAUUGAACUCUCAUGCUUAUGUACAACAACAACAACUACUACCAUUCAGCCAGCUAGCUGCUGUGAGCCCUGCUGCCUUCUUGACACAGCAACAUUUGUUGCCGUUCUACCUGCACACUGCGCCUAACGUUGGCACCCUCUUACAACUGCAACAAUUGCUGCCAUUCGACCAACUUGCUUUGACAAACCCAGCAGUGUUCUACCAACAACCCAUCAUUGGUGGUGCCCUCUUUUAGAUUGCUUAUGAGUUAUAGUUCAAUAAUAAAGUUUUUUUUGCUGAUAUUUGUGGCUUCCCAGAAAUAAGAAAGUACAUUUCUAGAUUCUUAUGUGCUUCUAGUCUCCAAAUGUGGUUGAUAGUUAUUUUGCUCUAAGAUCGGCAGUAAUGAGGUAUAAAUACUUGUUGUCGUGUGCUACUCGGUUAAUUGAGCAUUAACACACAUAAACAUUACAAGGAUGGUAUAAUCUCCUAAAAUGUGUACAUUGUUAGGUGUAACCCUAUAGCCAUGCAGAAUGUGCUAUGUUAGGCAUGCCGAUGGAAACGUGUGACACAUACGUUUUGUUAACCUAUUGAUAUUAUAUGUGCCUUUUAUAUUACCAUAUUUUAUUAAAAUACUAAUAUUUAUUACUAGUAAGAUAUAACAUUCUAUCUAGCUUAAAAACUAACCAUAAAUAUUCCAUCAUAACUAGAUUUACCAAACUAAUAUACUAAAUAUACAUAAUAAAUACAAAAUUAACAAUACAAUAUCAAUAUUUAUGAGCUUAAUAAAUUUAAACAUUAUGGUUGGCCGACGAUAAUCAUACUGACUUUCCGUAAUUGCUUGAUUGUAAAUAUACUUAGACUAAUGCCUCUUUGUUCUACAUGGCAAAUAGGGACCACUCUAGGAGACUAGGAUGUUGCUUGAGACGAAGAUGUUAUCAUUGGUGUAGACUAAUUUCUAUCAGCCGCUGACUUCACUAUUGUAACCAUUAUCUCUUGGGUAAAUCAUAUACGAUUAUCUAGCCAAAGGCCCAGAUGAUAAAAACAAUUUUUAAUUGCUAUUUCAGGACAAAUGAAUUAGCAUGGUUCGAAGGAUUGCGACCUUCCCCCCAUGACUUUUAUCGUAUUGUGUUAGUCUAAUCGACAAAACCAAGAUUAGAUAUCAUCGAAGAAGUUGAUAAGCGAAUCUGUGACCACUAUCAGAAUCAGCUGCUUUGCCGAGUGUCUAAAACACUCGACAAAGCCUGAAAAACACUCGGCAAAGGAUUUGCCGAGUGUAACACUCAGCAAAGAAAGCUCGGCGAAGUAUACAUCGGCAACGACUUCUUUGCCGAGUACUUUUUAUCGGGCACUUGGCAAAGAAGCGUCAUUGUCACGACGAUAGGUAAUGCCGACGGAGUCUGUGACGAGUGUCACAGAGUGACGCUCAGCAAAGGCUCACUCUUUGCUGAGUGACCACUGUACAGACACUCGGCAAAGAAGCCCCCGUGGGUCCCUUUAUCAGGGCCUUUGCCGAGCGUAUUAGGUGGCACUCGGCAAAGGCUCCAUCUUUGGUGACUGCCCGCCAGACUAGCAAUCGACAAAGGGAUCAACAGCGGAUCCCUUUGUCAGUUCUUUUGUCGAGUGCUCUAGGAGGCACUCAAUAAAGCUUGUGUUGGGGGCCUUCUUCUUCCGAAGGUCCUCAAAAACGUGACUAACCAUAGGUUUUCAGUAUGACAUAGACUAUUAUAGGAAGCUUUGGCUUUGGGAUGAAGGCGUGUGAUAUGAGGAUACAGCCCAAAGGCAACAUGGAUGGACGUCGAAGCUAUGGCUAAAGGAGUUUCGGCUUGGCAUGUUAGCGAAGAUGAAGGACGAAACCGACCUAAGGGAGAAAAGACUAGUUAGUCCUUGAUAGUUUGCAUUAUGAUUAAGAGCAGAUAUCAGGGGCAUGCAUGUAAUCUUAUCCGGGCUGCGUCCCGUGCCUAUGAAUAGAUGAAUAGUAACACCGUACUGUUCACGCUGGAUUAUAAUCGCUCCUACGUCACUCUCGCGUCUUCACCUUUUGGUAAGCUGAAGGUAUCAAUGUAAUACAAAUAUUGAUGAUGUUUAUUCAUGUUUAUGAAAUGAGAAUAUAAAUAGCUUGCUGAUUCGUAAUCAUUAUUUAUAUUCUUUUGUAUUUCAUGUACCCUUAUUUAGAUGUGUUCACUGAGAUGAUGAAGGUAUGCCCUUCAUGACCUUCGUUCGGAAACCAUUAUAUCCAAAAGGAGAUAAUGCUUCGAAGGACGAAGGUCUCUAAUUAUUGACAAUCAUGUUGUCUUGUUCUUGAUGUAUAGCAUUUGGGAACAAGGACCAACAUUGGCGCCCACCUCCCGUGAACUCAAUCGACCACCUUCGGCAAGCAUCGACUUUCGUAAUGCCGCCGAAGAAGACAAUAGUGCCAGGGGCUGCCCUGCAGCCACUGGACACUAAUCAGGAAACGCUGCGAGAAGCUAGGAUCUAGAAGAGGAAGGCUACUAGCCCAACACCUCAGGAGGAGGAGCUAGAUCAGGAGAUCAGAGAUUUGGAGGCUAUCACCAGCAGGUACAAAGAAAAAGGGAAAAGAUGCUUCAGCUCGUCGAACUUCAGAGAAAGAUCGACAAAGCUGCUGAAGAAAUGCGUCACCUUACCCAGGAUGACCAAGACCGAAGGCCCCAACAUAGGGAGCUUCAUCAAGAAAGCCCAAUUAAUGACGAUGAGUGGUAUGGUGACUUUCAUCGUGGCAAUUUUGCUUUUGAUGAUGCUUCUCCCUUGGCAGCAGAAUUGCAGGCUACCCCGUGGCCGCCAUCAUACAAGCCACCUCAGCUCCCCAUGUAUGACGAGCACUCAGACCCGAAGCAACCAUAUCCUCAUAUGGGGGCAAUACUGCGGUCAUGGCAAAGUCCUUCGUCAUGGCAGUUAGAAGCGUGGCUCAAACAUGGUGCUCUUCUCUUCGGCCAGGGACAAUUACGUCGUGGCAAAAGCUAAAAUACAUACUGGUCACUAGCUUCUAGGGUUUCCAAUCGAAACCAGUUACUGUCCAAACUCUGUUCCAGUGCACACAGGACCAAGAAGAAUACCUCCAAGCGUAUGUCCGAAGGUUCCUGCGAUUGAGAGUUCAGGCGCCUACAGUGCCCAAUGAGAUUGUCAUUGAGGCCAUGAUCAAGGGGUUCAGACCAGGACCAACGGCGCAAUACUUUGCAAGGAAGCCACCACAAACCCUAGAGAAGCCGACGAUGAUUUUCGGCAAAGAAGGCAAGAAGCCUACAGAUACUCUGAGAUGGCCAGGGGCUUCGGAGGAAGAUUUCACCCUAGGCAUGUCAGGUCAAUCCAUAAUACCAGCUCAAGUGACGACAAGGGAAACCAUACCCAAAGGCAGCAACACAGCUCUCAGUCGUCAGGAGCACAACAAAGCUCUUUGAGGCCACCGGCUCCAAGAGGUAGAGGGGGGAGAAGCUUCGGAGGAAGAUAUGGAGAUCAGCCCAGUAAACAGUUUUGUUUGUUCUGCGGUGAAGAUAAGGGGCAUACCACAAGAACGUGCCAAGUUAUGAUUCAGAAGCAGAAAGAAAUUGCUGAAGCUGAAGCACGUUCGAAUCAGCCGAAGCAGGUUCUGCAUACUGCUUCGUGCUACUCUCCCUACGUCCCGGAGUAUGUAGACAAUCAACAGCCUACGACCUUGGUCGCUUCGGCAAGCCAUUCUCAAGCUUCCUGGGCCCAGUUGCCACCACCACCACCGCUAGCACAUGCUCUGGUCCGCAAUCAAUAGCCAGAAGGGCACCACCAUGCUUAGUAAUAGCGCGACCUUCGGGAGGAGUCCGAAGCUCGCACAGUCAACAACAUUGUGCCUAAGUCGAAGCACAUCUAUUAAAGGUGCCACGGUGAUUCAAUUAAAGAAUAUCUUACCCUAAUGUAUCUUAGUUUUUCCGCCAUUUUAUUUUCUUGCAUGAAAAACAAUUCACGAAGGAUUAAUUUCCAAUUUGAUGUAAUAAUACCGUGGUCGCACCAUCGAGUGUGGAGCGCAUCGCCUUAACAAUACUUCCGAAGCUACAAAGACGUUCCUAAGGGAGCGCGGAGUAAGUUCUGAAGCUACAAAGUUGUUCAUAAGGGAGCGCAGAGUAAGUUCCGAAGCUCAAAAGUCGUUCUUAAGUGAAUGCAGAGCCAAGAUGCCACCAAAAUAAAAGGUGAAGAAGCUCAAAAGUCAUUCCUAAGGGGAUGCAGAGCUUAAAUGCCACCGAAAUAGAAGGUGAAGAAGUUCCAAAGUCGUUCCUAAGGGGAUGCAGAGCUUAGCUCCAAAGAUGUUCCUAAGGGGAUGCAGAGCUGAAAUAUAACCUAAGUAAAAAGUGAAGAGACUCAAAAGUCGUUCCUAAGGGGAUGCAGAGUCUGGAUGCAUUUUCGAGUGGGUGUGUUUCUUCGGCAUAAACAUCAUGCUGUAUCAUAUCAUCACAUCAUUUCUCAUAGCAUUACAUCAUACAUCACAUCACAUCAGCAACAGAACUGUGGAGAAGCAAAGAUGCUUCUUUCAAAAUAUUUGAUGAAUGGAACAAUGGGCUGAAGCAGAAAGUGUACCUUCAACAGCUAUAAUUUUACAUACCAAGAAAAAUCUUCGUCGACAAACAAUAUUAUAUAACAGCUACGACAUAAGAAGGGGUGAUUUUUUAUUUGUGAAGCAUGAAAAGAAGGGAAGGUGUUUUUUCACCAAAGGCUAAAAAACAGGUAAGUACAUACAUUUCAUGCAUCACAAAGAAAUAUAUUACAUUAAUAUACAAACAAAUGUUCGAUGUUCGACUCAUACACGAAUAUUACAUUUCUUAGUACACAAGAAUUUAGUCUUCUUUCAAUAUUUUCUCGGUAGCUUCAUGUAGGAGUUUGUUGACAGCUUCAUCAACGGCUUCUUCGGCAAUCCUUAUCGUUUCUAAUGCCCCCCUCAUGGCCGGAUCGGCCUCGGGAUCAUAUGGCUCAGGCGGUGGUGAAAAAUCAGCUGUAAUAAAGAACAAGUUGUUAAUAUCAAAGCCAGAAACAAAUACUGAAGCUAAAAUUCAGUAAUAAUACCUAUACGCCUUGCGCGCUCAGCAACCUCUUGGCUCGCUUAGCUUAUUCUCGAGCAUCAUGGGAUUCUUUUUCAUUUGUCUUUAUAGCUUCAUCGGCUAUCUCACGGCCACCUUUCAUCCAAACAUUGGAAUAAAACUUCUCGCCCAUCAAAGUAGCUUCGGCCGAAGGCUCCUUCAUGUCGUCUAUGGAGAAGACGGCUUCCGCCUGGGCUGCAGUUUUAACAUGUUCACAGCCAGUUUUCUCCAAAACUGCUGCAACCCCUCGGGCACCGGCGAAGGCACAAAAAUCCUCGCGUUCGCUAAGUAUUUCCUCAAAAGCUUCAACUUCUUCGCAAAUCCAUUGAACGACUCCUUUUGGAUCGCCUCGAAUAAAUUUUUGCUCCGAUGAGUAUGCACCCACCUUUGCAAAACUGUCUUUCAGUUUCUUUGCAUAGUCCAUGGAUACUUCGUAGCAUUUCUCUCUGGAACCCCGAAGUUCUUCAACAUUCUUCUCAAGCCUGGAGCUUGUCCAUUCACUUAUAUCUUACUUUGCCUUAGCAAGUUCAAUAUUUUCGCUCAUUUCGGCAAGUUUUUUGUGAAGGUCUUCGACUUCGGCUUGGUGAGCUUCGGAUUGUGCAUUAAGUUUUGCUUCGUUGCUCUUCAGUUUAUCCACCAAGGAAAGCAGUAUUUUAUCUUUUUCAAGCGCCUCGUUCCUUAAUGUAAUAACUUAUGACCGAAGGUUCCCAAGGGCUAUUUGGCAGCUUUCAUCUUCUGCAUUCUUUUGUGCCCUUAAAGCCUUGCUUAGGAUUAAUGCCUACAAAAAAUGAAGGAUCAGCACACAACAAUAAGAAAAGAUACAAAAAGUAAUCUGCUUAUAAGCUAAAAUGUCCUCACCAUCAGACUGUUAUAAGCAAGGAUGUCUGCAAGGUCAUCUUUCGACAUUGCAGACAACCCAAGCUCUAGCUUCGGGAAACCUAUAUUUUUUGCCAUCUCCCGACAAACAAAUAUUUUCUUGUUGUCUGGAAGGCAAUACAAAAAAUCAUCUUCGUCAGUGCCAUUAAACAUGAGGGAUCCUGGGGGAUACUUCAGAUCCUUAGCAAAUUGCCUAGCUUCGGCAACCUGCUCCUCUGAUAGUUUUUCCCUACCGCGUGACACACUAUAAAUUCCGAUCCCUCAGUAGAAGCUUCAACGGCAAGGAAUUCAGAUUCUUUGCUGGUUCUCUCUUUUCCUAACGGUAACGGAGCUUUUUCAGCAUCCAAAGGUCCUUUUUCAGCAUCCUUUUCAAUAAGCUCUGCAGGCCCUAUUUCUGCGGGAACUGAGGGCCCAGCUUCAGCUUCAACCCAAGUUAUGAUAGCUUCGGCAGUUUCCUUUGUACUUUUCUUACCCAUGCUAGGUACUUCUGUAGAGGCAGGAGUUAGUACUUUUGUCGAUUCCAUGACAGCAUCCAGUACACUAGCCAUUCUCCUCCUUUUUGGAGUUAUCAAAGUAGUUUUUUGAAUCUUCGGCAAUUCUGCCUCUGGCCGUGAAAAAGUUUUUGGCUGCUCCGCUGCUAUCUUCAGAAUUGGCUCUUCGGCUGAUCCCAAUAUGGCUUCGGCAGUAGCGAGAUGAUUUUGCUCAGCUGCAGAAGAAGACCCUUCAACAGGCUUUGACACUUUGGCCGUCUCAGAGUGCCUGGGCCGGUGUGUCAAGACUUUGCCAUUUUUCCCUUCGGCGUGGCAGAGAUUGCCGAAGCAGUAGCCUUCCUUUUCUUUCCCUGCUUUCGCGAGGGAUAACAAUAGUCUGGGUACACAAAACCAAUUACAUCAAAAACCCUAUUUAAUCUCUUCUUGCCUCGUCCUCCGAAGGCCAAUGUCAUGGCAUCGUCUUCGGCCCUUGUGUAGGCCCCAAGCAAUUCGUCACUAGUAGCCUCAAUGCAAUCCAACCAGUCAUCGUUCGGCUCAUCGAACUGAUCUCUGUAUCUGAAGGUGUAUUUCAGAUAAACUAAACUAACUUGACUGGACCCGGCCGCAGCUUCCUUCGACAUCUCCCAGCCACUUCCAAGAGGCCACACUCUGUAAGCAAUAUGCUCCUAGACUAAGUCCCUAGUGCCAAUAUAAGUACAUAAAGUGUUAAAGUCCGUAUGGCAUGCUUGAAUAUCAUGUCCAUGGACAGUGGUUGGCCUCCUAAUGCCGAAGCGAGACCAGAUAGGGCAUUGAAUGAUCCCCUUUAUAUCUUCUCUUUCAACUAAGUUGUUCUUCACAUAAAACCACUCUUGCAUCCAGGCUCCUGGCCACCUCUUCCAAAAUGUUGGGACGGGAUAGCUCACACCAGAGCGAGGCAUGAAGCCGUAACAACGAAAAUUAUUAUGAUAUUGUUCUAUGCCAGUAGCCUUUGUCUCAUAGGACAGGUCAUGCAUGUUGCAGAAGCAUUUUGCAUUCGGCUCUAAACCCUGGCCCAAAUGAAAACUCCCAUUCUGAUGAUAUCUUCGGGGGUAAUUUGAUGAAGGUAAAUUUCAAAAGUCUUCAAAACUUCAACUAAAAAUUUGUUCAGGGAGAAUCGAAGCCCUGCUUUCAUAGAACUCCUGUAGACAACAACUUCGUCUGCUUCGGGCAUAGGGGCACUGCUAUCUCCUCUGGCCCUCAUGAUAGAAAUAUCGCGGAAGUAUCUUCCUUUCAUUGCAUCAAUCUGACUCUGUUUGAUGGUUGAUUUAGCAAAGAUGGUAUGACUCGGUCGCCAGGGCUGAUCUUCGACAUCUUCGUUUCCACUUUCUAAGUCAAAACUUUCACUAUCGCUGGAAUCUUCAGACAACCCAACCAACAUCUCAUUGGUGAUCUUCUUCAUAUUUGUCUUCUCCAUAGCUUCAUAAAACCCGGCCAAUGCAGGGUCAGCAAUCUUCUUCUCUUUAGCCAUUUAGACAACGAUUGCACGAUUGUCGAAGCUUAAAACUCAAUCAAAACUCGACAGAGCAAGAGAAUUCAGAAUGUCUAAAAUAGCGCAAGCAACUGAAAUAGCACAGCAAAUGCUGCCAAUGCGAGUUUCUAUUUAUAUGCCUCACGAUUUGGUGGGCCAUACAUGUCAGUGGCUUUCGCUAUUCUAGCGAAGGGAAGGUGUUUUUUCGGAUCUUCGGUUAAAGGCCUUCGUUCACGUCACAGUCUAAAUUUGUUACAAAGAAACAAAUUAAUACUACGAGGGGCUACUGUUGGGGGCCUUCCUUUUCCGAAGGUCCUCAAAAACGUGGCUAACCAUAUGUUUUCAGUAUGACAUAGACUAUUAUAGGAAGCUUCGGCUUUGGGAUGAAGGCGUGUGAUAUGAGGAUACAACCCGAAUGCAACAUGGAUGGACGUCGAAGCUAUGGCUAAAGGAGCUUCAGCUUGGCAUGUUAGCGAAGAUGAAGGACGAAACCGACCUAAGGGAGAAAAGACUACUUAGUCCUUGAUAGUUUGCAUUAUGAUUAAGAGUAGAUGUCAGGGGCAUGAAUGUAAUCUUAUCCGGGCUAUGUCCCGUGCCUAUAAAUAGAUGAGAAGUAACACCGUACUGUUCACGCUGGAUUGUAAUCGCUCCUACAUCACUCUCGCAUCUUCACCUUUUGGCAAGCCGAAGGUAUCAAUGUAAUACAAAUAUUGAUUAUGUUUAUUCAUGCUUAUGAAAUGAGAAUAUAAAUAGCUUGCUGAUUCAUAACCAUUAUUUAUAUUCUUUUGUAUUUCAUGUACCCUUAUUUAUAUGUGUUCACUGAGAUGAUGAAGGUAUGCCCUUCAUGACCUUCGUCCGGAAACCAUUAUAUCCAAAAGGAGAUAAUGCUUCGAAGGACGAAGGUCUCUAAUUAUUGACAAUCGUGUUGUCUUGUUCUUGAUGUAUAGCAUUUGGGAAUAAGGACCAAUAGCUUGCUUCUUUGCCGAGUGCCAAGGCCACAGCACUCGGCAAAGAGUCUUUACCGGUGCGCAGGUGUGCCUUCUUUGCCGAGUGCUAUGACAUUGACACUCGGCAAAGUAUCUCUUUGUCGAGUGUAACACUCGACAAAGUGACCAGAUUAUCCCUUUUUAUUUGUUUUUGCUAUUCCAUCCAAACAAAUAAAAGAUAUAUCGCAUAAUCAUCACAUAUACAUCAUAGAUAUCACAUAAUCAUCGCAUACAUAAUAGAGACUGCAUAUUUCACAAAAAACACAAAUCUCACAAGUUUUUCUCAAACAUGUCCAUGUUCAUACCAAGAUUCACUAACAUAAGUAUCACACAACUCUAAAACAUAAGUUUUUCACAAACAUAAGUUUAGGACAAGUUUAUCACACAAGCUAAGAGAAGAUCAUGAGCGAGGUGGGCGGCUGGACUGGUGCGGCGACGGGCUGGGCGAUCCACGAGGGUUGUUGGAUGCCGCCCUAGAUUGUCCCUGCACAGAGAAGAGAUUGCCUGUGUUAUACUAGAUAAAUAUACAUCAUGCAGGACUAGAAUUUUGAUACUCAUAGGAGUAUGGAACUGAGCAGGGUCAACUGGAGGGAACAACGGAGGUGGUGGAGCAAAACCCUGUGCGGUGCCAAGGCUCUGCAUGUACUGGAACAUCUCUGCCAUCCUCUGUUGAUUUUCCAUGUGGGCCUCCCGCUCCGCCAUCAUCCUCGCCUCCAUAUCCUACCGUUCCCUCCUCUCUUCUUCUAGCUAGGCAUAUAAUAUUUCAACCCAGUGUUAUAAUAACUCAAAGAGAAGGUAUAUAACUCAAGGAAAGACGAGUUACAGAAGCACUAACCUGGAGUUGUUGUAUCUCAUGAUGUGAGUUGUCCUGUCGAGGUCGUAUGGCUGGGCUUGAGCUCGUGGUCCUUGCUCGCACCUGAGACAGAGUGGGAGUGGACAACGAGUCGAUUGUCCCGUCGGCAAUCCAGUACCUCCCAUGCCUCUUGCCUCCUCUGACCCUCAUGAGAACAUCUCCGUCGAUUUCCUUGGUCCUCGGAUCGUAAUCUGGCCCAUGGACCUCAUGUGACAUGGCAGUGUACUCACUUAGGCGGUUGUAGACGGCGGAGUUGCUAUAUGCCUCGGGCCCGUCAUCCGGGUUGUAGGUGACAUCGGACGUCGCCUUUCCCUUGUGGGCCAUAGCAUAAACCGAGAAGAUGGAGCAUGGCUGGCCACCAUGUAACACCAAAUGCAAUAAAAUCAAUGAGAUAGUUAGAAAUAAUAUCUAAACCAGUGCUAUAUACCUAAAUAAAAAGAGGGCGUACCCAUGCUUCUACAUAUUUCCAGAGGUUGCGACUGCCUUGGUGGUGGGAGGGACCUUACAUCAUCAAAUGUCGUUCCAUGCUAGCGUUGUGCGCCUCGUCCCACUUAGGCGAGCACCACCUAUCCACCAUCUGCUCCUAGCACUGAGGAUGCGCGGCGCACCAAUAAGGAAUCAUCUACAAACUAAAACAAGUACAUUGCAUAUCAGAAGAUAAAAUUAAGCAAUUUUUUUCACGAAUAUUAAAGUGAUGUAUUUACCUGCAAGUAUUGGUCCCUAGUCAACGACAUGGUUCGGGCCUCUUGUUUGGUCACCUUCUCUCUAAGGACGGAGCCAUGGUAGAUGAUGAUGACCUAGAUUCGUGCAUCGUAGUGCAUGUCCACGACGAGCUUCUUACAGCUUGUGGUGGCCACCACAUUUGCCCUGGCCUCGUAUCCAGCCUCGCAUCUGAAGAAAUCCUACAUACAAAGGCGAUAUAUCCAUACAUUAUUUCAAGUAUGUGCAACAAAUGCGACAUAUUUUACAAUAUAGUAAGACUUACUCAUAGCUUUUGCUUCACCCGCUCUGCCAUGUUGUUAAAUUCCCUAUCGUCCUAGUCUACUGCAUCAGGGGUGACGACGUAGUGGUCGAAGGUGUAGGCAGUAGGUUGGGCCCACCACUCCAGCGUACUCAACCAGUCCAGGGAAGUGUUCCCUACACAUAAGGCCAAGGAUGCCAUUGGGUUGUGGUCGUGACUCCCUGCAUUCUCCACAACCUUUCAAGACCUGUCCAAGUGAUAAAUAAAAAGUAUUAGUUUAUAUUAUGAAUUUGAACACAUAAUAUGAACAAACAGUGAGAACAUAAAAUUACAUGUCUCUCCCCAUCCUUCUGAAUCAGCGACCGCCUAUCUCGAAGUAUGGGACGCUGAGGGAGACUCGUGGGACCUCGCUGGUAGACGUUCCUCGAAUCUGAAGCACCAGAACCUGAGGCGUCUUGCUGAGCGUCGUCGUCGUCCUACUGUGUCGCAUCGAUAACGACCUGCUGCUGGACGUCGUCAUCCUGUUGUGCCUUCUUCGCCUUCCUACGGGUGCUCCUCCUCCCCCUCCUUGUCCUCAUCCCACCGCCCACCAUAUUUGUCCAACAACCUGUAAUUAAGGGUAAGCAAAUAAGCACAUAUAAAAAAGUUUAUUUACAAAUAGGCGUGAAAUAAAAAAAAUAGCAUUACAUCGUUUAAAAAAAUCUUCAUAUGUGUCGGGGUUAGCCAGAUCAUAAGUGUCAUCAUCACAAUCAACCAUUUCAUAGUCAACACCAUCUGAAGGCGCAAGUUCUUCAUUAAUGUCAUUGCCUUCAAGUAAUUCUAAGUCAUUCUCAUUUUGCACCUCAUCAACAACCAUUUCAAUAUCUACUUCCAUUCCGAUAGCUUCGGUUAAGUCUAUCUCAAAUCACCCUUCUAGCCCAUAUUCUUGGAAGAACUCUCCAUCAUAUGUAUCCGGGUCUAAGUUAUAAUCUUCAUCAUUUGGAACAGGUAAUUUACCGUGCAGUGAUACCUUAUACACAACAUCCCAACCCAUCCAUGCCUCAUAUAGGAGAUGAAGAAUCAAAUGCUGCAUUGGAUUGAAGAAGUCGAGUGGAAAUAUCUUCUCAAGCUUACACAAAAACACGGGUGUCAAUCUUUCCAAGUCUGCAAUCACGGACCAAGAUAACUCUUUCACACAAAGCUGGCAGAAUAAAUAGCUGAACUUUGUAAGCGCUAGCCAUACAUGCUCAGGGACAUAGCCUCGAACCAUCGUCGGAAGAAUCUGUUCAAUCCAUAAGUGGAAGUCAUGACUCUUCAUCCCUAAGACUCACAGAGUAGAUAAGUUCACCCCCCUACUUAGGUUAGCUGCAUACCCAUCAGGAAACAUCAACAUCUUGAUCCACUAAAGUACUUCCUUCCUCUGGGCCCUACUUAGGACGAAAUCGGCCUUAGACCUUCUCCAUGUCUUUCCACCACUAGGCGGCUUCAUUUCUUGGUUUGGUCUAUCACAUAACGCUGUCAGAUCCACUCUUGUCUUUACAUUAUCCUUUGACUUAUCAGGAAUGUCCAUAAUUGUUGCCCAAAGUGCCUCGGCGACAUUCUUUUCAGUGUACAUCAAGUCAAUGUUGUGUGGAAGGAGUGGGUCAUCAUAAUAGGGGAGCCGAGUCAAGCCCGACUUAUGUGUCCACAUAUGCUGCUCACCAUAUCCCACAAAUACACCUUCUGGAUUGGCCACGAGCCCAUCUAUUUGUUGACGAAUUUCGGCACCAGUCAUCAUUGCAGGUGGUUGGUCUGUCACUACAACACCUUUCGUAAAGUUAUUGAUGUCUAGGCGGAAUGGAUGGUUAGGAGGGAGAAAUUGUUGAUGUUUAUCGAACAACGAAUAUUUGCCACCCUUUUUCAACCAAAUGAACUUAAGAGCUUCCUUACAAACUAGGCAUGGGAACUUACUGUGAACACAAUAGACACAGAAUAGCCCAUACGCCGGUAAGUCAUGCAUGGCGUACUAGUACCAAACAUGCAUUUUGAAGUUUUUCUUCGUAGCUCGGUUAUACGUCCAUACCCCUUCCUCCCAAGCAUGUACGAUUCAUCAAUCAAAGGCUCCAUGUACACGCCCAUUUUAUUCCCCGGGUGUCCGAGAAUUAUCAACGACACAAAUAUGUUCUGCCUUUAAAAGCAUACACCGGGGGGAGAUUGAUUGGGAUAACAAACACGGGCCAACAUGUGUAUGGGGCAGCGCUCAUUCCAUAGGGAUUGAACCCAUCUGUGGCCAGCGCAACACGUACAUUAUGAGCCUCUUCAGCUUUCUCGCGGUAAAUGGCAUCAAAGUGUUUCCAUGCUUCACCAUCGGAUGUGUGCACCAUCUUAUCAUGAUUGUAUCGUUUGCCAUUUUUGUGCCAUGUCAUCUGUUUCGCGGAUUCCUCAGUCAUGUAUAGACGCUGGAUCCUCGGUGUGAACGGAAGGUGGUGUAGGAUUGUCACGGGGAUGUCGAGCUGCCUAUCAUGUCCAUCACCAAAGUCUACCUCCAUGAACCUAGACGAUUUACACUUCGGACAGUACUUUGCUUCCGUGUAUUCUUUCCUAAAUAGCACGCAGUCCUUCGGACAAGCAUGUAUCUGCUCAUAUGUCAUCUUGAGUGCACGGAGGAGUUUCUGUGUGUUGGGGACCUUCGGCAUCCGAAGGUCCUCAAAAACGGGAUUUAACAGUAUUUCUGGAAGUAUAAUGUGUGAGCAGGUACCUUCAGACUCAAGUCGGUAUCACGGCAGGAGAAGACCCGGAUAAUACGAAGGUCUUGAUACAACGCCGAAGAUGUUAGCAGGAAAGCUUCGGCAUGGUUGCAGAAAAUGAAACCGACUUAAAGAUGAAAAGGCUAUUCAGACCUCGAUAGAUUACUAUAGAAUUAUUAUCAAAUGUAAAGGGCAUGAAUGUAAUUUUGUAUGGGCUGUGUCCCGUGCCUAUAAAUAGGUGAACAGAACCCCCGUACUGUUCACGCUGACUUGGCAUUCGCUUUUUGCGUCACGCUUGUACUGUCAUCUCCUUCCGAUUGAAGGUACACUUGUAAUUCAACGAUAUUUCUGUUUAUGUCUGAUAAUAAUAUAUAAUUGUUCAUAUUGUCUUUUAUGUUCUUUACAUUUCAUUCUUCGUCAUUGCUUAAUGAAUUUAUGAAGGUACGUCCUUCAUAACCUUCGUCCGUAAACCAUUAUAUCCUAAGGGAAAUAAUGUUUCGGAGGGCGAAGGACUUUAACGAUUAACAUUUUCUAUGUUGCCUUGUUCUUAACUCAUAGCACUUGAGAACAAGUCCCCAACAUUGGCGCCCACCUCCGGUGAACUCACUUCCACUCUUUGAAGUUUUUUGAACACCUUCGGCGAUCAUAAAUCUUCGUUAUGGCGCCGAAGAAAGCUUCAGCGACUGGGGCUGCAGCUCUGCAACCACUGGACCACAAUCAGGAGACAGUUUCCCUGCGGGAGGCCCGAAGCCAGAAAAGGAAGGCUGUCAGUCCGACACCACCAGAGGACGAGAUAGAUCAAGAAAUCAGAGAUAUGGAGAUGCUUCAUCAACAAGUACAGAGGAAGAAAGAAAAGAUGGCCAGGCUAGCUGAACUGCAGAGGCAGAUAGACGAAGCCUCUGAAGAAGUUCGUCAUCUUGCUCAGGAUGAGCAACACCGAAGGCCUCAGCACCAAGACCUUCAUCAGGAGGGUUUUCCCAACGAAGAUGACUGGUAUGACAAUUUCCAUCAUGGGAAUUUUGUUUUUGAUGAUGCUUCUCCUCUGUCCGCUGAGCUGCAGGCUACACCUUGGCCUCCGUCCUACAAGCCGCCUCAGCUUCCCGUAUUCGAUGGUCACUCAGACCCGAAGCAGUUUUUGAUGAGCUACGAAGCAACAGUAUCUUCGUAUGGUGGCAAUGCUUCAGUCAUGGCCAAAUCUUUCGUUAUGGCUGUCAGAAGUGUUGCUCAAACCUGGUAUUCCUCCCUUCGACCAGGAACGAUCACUUCAUGGCAGAAGCUGAAGGACUUGUUGUUAACUAGCUUUCAAGGAUUUCAGACGAAGCCGGUCACUGCUCAGGCUCUGUUCCAGUGCACCCAGGAUCACGAAGAAUACCUUCAGGCGUAUGUCCGAAGGUUCUUGCGUUUGAGGGCACAGGCACCAACGGUGCCCAAUGAAAUUGUCAUCGAGGCCAUGAUCAAGGGGCUUCGGCCAGGACCGUCAGCUCAGUACUUCGCCAGGAAGCCUCCUCAAACUUUGGAGAAGCUGCUCCAGAAGAUGGACGAGUACAUUCGGGCCGAUAAUGAUUUUCGCCAAAGAAGGGAGGAGGCUUUCAGGUUUUCUGAAAUGACCAGGGGCUUCGGAGGGAGGUUCUACCCGAGGCACGUGAGAUCAAUUCAUAACUCUACACAAAAAUGAUGAUAGAGGAAGCCAACAGCAAAGGCCACAAUGCUCCUCACAGGCUUCGGGGCAACAGCAAAGCUCCUUCCGACCACCAGCUCCAAGAGGCAGAGGCGCCAGGGGCUUUGGAGGAAGAUUUGGAGAUCAACCGAGAAGAAUCUUUUGCUUAUUCUGCGGUGAGAACAAAGGCCAUACUACCAGGAUGUGCCAUGUUACUAUUCAGAAGCAAAAGGAAAUAGCUGAAGCCGCAGCACAACAAGCUCAGCCGAAGCAGGUCAUGCAUACAACUUCGUAUCAUUCGCCCUACAUCCCAGAAUAUGUGGGCAACCAUCCUGCAGUUUCUGUUGCUUCGGCAAGUCAGCCUCAAGCUUCCUGGCAACAGCCUCCGCCUCCACCUCCGUUGCAACAAGGCCAGCAACCAGAAGGGAGCCAGUAUGCUCCACACCAGAGGGACUUCAGAGAGCAGUCCGAAGCUCGUACAGUCAAUAGCACUGUGCCAGAGUCAAAGCACAUCUAUUGACGAAUAUCCUACCUUAAUAGCAAUCUUUUUCAUUCAGUUUUAUUUUCUGUAAUAAAGGACAUUGUUUAGGUUUCAUGUAAUUAGUUUCGUUGAUUCCUACAAGAAAAAUAUGUUUUCCUCACAGGCUUAAAUUGAUUGAAGUUCAAAGACUUGUGAUAAAAAAAAGGACCUUCGAACUAUCGAAAAUUCUUCGAAGCAACAAAAAGUCGUUCUAAGGAACGCAGAGUAAGUUUGCCGAAGUCACAAAAAGUCGUUCCAAAGGGAGCGCAGUGUAAGUUUUCUGCUCCAAAGUCGUUCCAAAGGGAAUGCAGAGCAUACAGCGAAAAGUCAACGCUGAUACCGCCUAAGUAAAAGGCGAAGCGCGAAAAGUCAACGCGAAUACCGCUGAAAGUAAAAGGCGAAGAAGCUCCUAAGGGAGGCUUACAGCGAAAAAUAAACGCUGAUUCCGCUGAAGUAAAAGGCGAAGAAGCUCCUAAGGGAGGCUUAUAAAAGAUGUGUUUUAUUGCAGGGAUGCGUAUGUAUCUUCGGAAUAAACGUCAUCUCACAUAACAUAACAUCAUCGCAUCAUUUCGCAUAGCAUAAGCAUCAUACAUCAUUUUGCACAUGGCACAAGAGGUGGACACAUUAUUAAUCUACAGAAGAACGCUUUGAAAAAAGGGAGAAAUCAAAGUCACAAAAAGAUACAUCAUUGAUCUUCGGAAGUGUAUCUUCGGAAGUGUAGCUUCGGAAAAUAUCUUCACGAAGCCUGGAUAUUAAUCAUCAGAACAUUGGAUAUUGUUGUGACAAAGAAAAAUUCUUCUUCACGAAGCAUGAAAAGAAGGGAAGGUGUUUUUUCGUCAAAGACUCAAAAGUGGUACGUGUAAAGUUUCAUGCAUCGUAAAGAAUUGACUAACAAAAAUAGGUAUAUUACAUUUGGGGUUACAAAAUGUUACAGUAUAUUACAUUUCAGAAAGUUUUCACAAAAAUACUUAAUCUUCUCUCAAAACGACUUCUGCAGCCUCGUUCAGGAGCCGAUUGACGACUUCGUCCAUAAUAUCUUCAGCCAUCUUUUUAAUUUCGUCGUCUCCUUUCGGCUGAGGGCCCGAAGACGCUUUAGCACGAUCUGAAGUAAGACAGCAUGCGGCUACAUUGCUAUUACAAAUCGCAAACAAAUCUUAAAGCCUAAGAUUACAACACGAUAAAAACUAUUAGUUAAUACCUAAUUGACCUUCGGCCUCUGCGCUCUUUUCAGCAGCCUCAGCCACUUCUCUAGCAUCGUGAAUGCCCUUUUCACUUCUUCGAAUAAUUUCUCCGGCCAUUUCUCAGCCACCAUUAUCCCAGAUAUCGGUAAAACAUUUUCCACCAAUUAUACUAGCUUCGGCCGAAGGAUCUCUUGCAUCUUCAAAGGGCAAAGCAGCUUCGGAUUGUGCUAAAAUUUUUACAUGUUCGCAGCCCUUCUUCUCUAAGAUGGUGGCAAUCCCUCUGGCACCAGAGAAGGCACAUAUAUCUCCUCGGCUAUUUAAAAUUUCUUCGAAGGCUUCAGCUUCGUGGUCGAUCCAUUCGAUGACACCUUCGGGAUUGCUUCUCGAAAAGUUUUCCUCACUUGAGAAUGCGCCGACCUUGGCGAAGCUAGCCUUUAGCUUCUUAACACAAUCUAUAGAUUUAUUAUAGCAUCUCUUUUUGGACGAACGAAGCUCUUCAACAGUCACUUCUAGGUGAUCUGCCCAUUGAUCGCUGAGUUCACGCUUUGUUUCUUCAAGUAUGCGUUCUUCCUUGGCUCUGGCCAGUUGUUUCCGAAGAUCUUCAAUUUCGCGCUUCUGAGCUUCAGCUUGACCUUUAAAAGCAGCUUCGUCUUCCUUUAUUUUAUUUAUCAAUGAGUAUAAUAUUUUAUCUUUUUCGAGACCUUCGUUCCUCAGUUCAAUUACUUCGGAACGAAGGUUGCUCAGGGCUAUAGUACACCCUUCGUCUUCAGCAUCUUUCUGUGCCCUGAGGGCAUUGCUAAGUAUCAGGCCCUGCAAAGAGAAAUAUGUGUGCGUCAAUAGGUUUAAACAAACGAAAAAUACAAGGAUUUCAUUUCUCGCACCUUUAAGCUAUUGUAAGCCAGGCUGUCGGCCAGAUCGUUCUUCGACAGCACCGAGAGCCCGUCUUCUAAAGUUGGGAAUCCGAAGCUCUUGCUCAUCUCCCGACAGACAGAAAUUUCCUUGCUAUCGGGGAGACAAUACAAGAAGUCUUCUUCUCCACUGCCAUUGAAUAUUAACGCCCCCUUUGGAUAUUUCAGUUUUUGGGCGUAGUGCUGGGCCUCUUGCUCUUCUUUUUCUGAUAGUUUUUUCCCCGAAGCAUGGCGAACAAUAUAAUCACGAACUUUGGGGGAUGCUUCGGGGGCAAUGGCACCGGUUUCUUCAACAAAAGUUGGCUUUGUUAUUUUUUCUGCCUCACUUUCCAAGGAUUUUAUCUUUGCAGGCUCUGAGGGCCCAGCUUCGGCUUUAGUCUCUUGCCCUGAAGCUUUAGAUCCAGAAAUUUCAGUUGUUUCAGGAAUGACAGCAGCCCUCUUCGGAGGUGUGCUUGAAGAUUUGAUCGUUUCCAGUACAUCUAGCACAUUAGCCAUUCUCUUUCUUUUCGGAGUCACUGCUGGCACUUUCACUAUCUCAAUGUUUGCUGCAGGACUCAAAACUUCUGAUGUUUUGGAUCCCUCAGUUGAUUCUUUUACCUUUUCCAUUUUUUCUGUGGACGGCGCUUCGGCUUUCUCUUUCGUUUCUGAUAACAAAAUUUUUGAUUGUUCCAAUUCUAUCUUUGUUGGCACUUCGGCCGUUUCUGCGACUUCUGGCAGCAAGGUUGGCUCGGUUGGUUUUUCAGCUUCGGUGGCCGAAGAAGUUUCUCCGGUAAACUCAGGCACCGAAGCUGGUUCAAUAUAGCGCGGCCGAUGCGUAAGGACCUUUAUCUUCUUUCUUUUCGGUUCUGGCUCGCUAGGAGCAGUUGCAGCUUCUUCUUUUGCAGAGGUUGUGUUUUUUCUCUUCUGCCUUCGAAUGGGAUAGCAAUAGUCAGGGUAGACAAACCCGAUUGCAUCAAAUACCCGAUUCAGCCUCUUCUUUUUUCGGCCUCCGAAGGCUGCUGACAUUGCAGUAUCUUCGGCCUUCGAAUAGGUCCCAAGCAGCUCAUCACUUAAAUUUUCAAUGCUUUUUAACCAGUCAUCAUCUGGUUCAACGAAUUUAUCUCCAAACUUAAAAGUGUACUUCAACCUGAUAAGUCCACCUUCGUCGGCCUCUUUUAUGGUUUCUUGUGGCAUUUCCCAUUUCUCCGCAAGUGGCCAUACCCUGAAGGCGAUAUGCUCUUGUACUAAGUCCCUCGUUCCAAUAAAAGAACAGAUAACACCGAAGGCCCUCUGGCAUUCUUCGGCAGCCUCACUCAUUUCAACCUUCGGCCUCCGAAGGCCGAAGCUUUGCCAAAUAGGGCGCAUAAUUAUACCUUUGAUAUCUUCUCGCGCUGUCAGAUCAUUCUUCACAUAAAACCAUUCUGUCAUCCAGUCGCCGGGCCAUCUCUUCCGAAAGGUCGGCACGGGACAGCUUGACCCGGACCGAGAAACGAAAUUGUAGCAGCCAAAAUUAUUGUGAUACUGUUCCUUACCCCAAGGUUUUGUUUCGUAUGAUAAUUCGUGUAUAUUGCAGAAACUUUUUGCAUCAGGCUUCAGACCUUGGCUUCUCACGGCCCACACGAAGAUAUUUAGCCUUAUAAUUGCCUCAGGGGUAAGUUGAUGGAGAUAGACUUCGAAUAUUUUCAGUACCUCCACAACGAAGCUGCUCAAGGGAAAUCGCAGUCCAGCUUUCAAAAAGCUUCGGUACACUACGACUUCAUUCUCUUCAGGGUGUGGGCAAGUUUUUUCCCCUUCGUCGGCCCUCACAAUGGACAAAUCCCGGAAAUACCUUCCUCUCAUGUUGACAAGAUGAUUCUCUUUGAUAGUUGAUUUACCAUAAACUGAAUGGCUUGGUCGCCAGGGACGAUCUUCGGAGUCCUCACCACCACUGUCCACAUCAUAGCUGUCACUGUCACCAGUAUCUUCAGACAAACCUUCCAGAAUCUCCUUGGUAAUUUUUUCUGUAUUGGUCUUUGACAUCGCUAUAAGAAACCCCAAGUUUUUCUCUUCGUCAAGGCUCAGCUUCAUCUCAGCAACAGUCUUCUUAUCUUCAGACAUCUUCGGAGACGCUAAAAAACUAUUUUCAAAGCCGAAGCUUCAAAACUAAAAGCUUAGCAAAUCGCAGUGCACAAGAGCUAAAAAUUGAGUGAGCGGGAGUAGUUGGCCAGAAAGCGUGUCAAAUGAGUUUGCGGUAUGGCCGUAUUUAUACGCCAAGAGCGUUGAAAAUUCAAAGACCCCGCUUGUCAGUGAAUGUUGCUAUUCUAGCAAAGGGAAGGUGUUUUUUCGGACCUUCGGCGUAAAGCCUUCGUCCAUGUCGCAAUCUAAAUUCGUUAUUUUAAAACAAAUUAAUAUUGCGAGGGGCUACUGUUGGGGACCUUCGGCAUCCGAAGGUCCUCAAAAACGGGAUUUAACAGUAUUUCUGGAAGUAUAAUGUGUGAGCAGGUACCUUCGGACUCAAGUCGGUAUCACGGCAGGAGAAGACCCGGAUAAUACGAAGGUCUUGAUACAACGCCGAAGAUGUUAGCAGGAAAGCUUCGGCAUGGUUGCAGAAAAUAAAACCGACUUAAAGAUGAAAAGGCUAUUCAGACCUCGAUAGAUUAUAUAGAAUUAUUAUCAAAUGUAAAGGGCAUGAAUGUAAUUUUGUAUGGGCUGUGUCCCGUGCCUAUAAAUAGGUGAACAGAACCCCCGUACUGUUCACGCUGACUUGGCAUUCGCUUUUUGCGUCACGCUUGUACUGUCAUCUCCUUCCGAUUGAAGGUACACUUGUAAUUCAACGAUAUUUCUAUUUAUGUCUGAUAAUAAUAUAUAAUUGUUCAUAUUGUCUUUUAUAUUCUUUACAUUUCAUUCUUCGUCAUUGCUUAAUGAAUUUAUGAAGGUACGUCCUUCAUAACCUUCGUCCGUAAACCAUUAUAUCCUAAGGGAAAUAAUGUUUCGGAGGGCGAAGGACUUUAACGAUUAACAUUUUCUAUGUUGCCUUGUUCUUAACUCAUAGCACUUGAGAACAAGUCCCCAACACUGUGCCUCAUACAUGCUCUUUGGUAGAACGUGAUCCUCCGGAAGCAGGCUACCAAUAACUGUCAACAAGCAAUCGAAUGCGUCUUGACUCAUGUUAUACUGCGACUUGAACGCUAUUACAUGCCCAAUGGCAUCCAGUUGAGAAACCUUUGUCUGGCUGUGAAGGGGCUUCUGUGCCACGUCAAACAUGUCGUAGAACGCCUUUGCAAUCGGCUCUAGCUCGUCCUCCAUACAUCCUCCGACGAACUAUGCCUCAUGAUAGUCGUUCAACAUAUCUGCUACCCCCGCAUCAGCAUCAUAAUCCUCGACGUGUUGUCUCUGAAAGGGAAAUAAGCUUACACCUUUUCCUAAAUGAUUUUGGUGGUUGAAUUGCCCAACACAAAUAAUUGGACUAACUAGUUUGCUCUAGGUUAUAAGUUCUAUAGGUGCCAAAGGUUCAACACAUACCAAUAAAAAGUCCAAGAAAGGGUUCAAAUAAAAAGAGCAAAAGACAACCGAAGGCUGCCCUGGUCUGGCGCACUGGACUGUCCGAUGUGCCACCGGACAGUGUCCGGUGCACCAGAGAGAUUCACUCCAAACUUGCCACCUUCGGGAAUUUGGGAAGCCACUCCGCUAUAAUUCACCGGACUGUCCGGUGUGCCAAGCGGAGCAACGGUCGCCAACGCAAUGGUCGAGUUCAACGGUCGGCUGACAACGCUACAGUGCGCGGACUACGCGCGUAGAAGUCAGAGAAGGCGCAGAUGGCGCACCGGACAGUGAAGAGGACCUGUCUGGUGCACCAUCGGACUGUCCGGUGGCCCACAUGUCAGAAACUCCAACGGUCGAACCCUAACGGUUGGGUGACGUGGCUGGCGCACCGGACAGUGUCCGGUGGCGCACCGGACUGUCCGGUGCGCCCAUCGACAGCAGAGUUCCCCAACGACCACUUUGGUGGUUGGGGCUAUAAAUACCCCCCAACCACCACACUUCGAUGCAUCCAAGUUUUCAGCCAUCAAACCUCAUACAAGAGCUCUAGACUUCAUUCCAAGACACAAACAAAGAGAUCAAAUCCUCUCCCAAGUCUGGAAUCACUCCAAACAAAUUAGUGACUAGAGAGAGAGAGACUUUUGUGUUCUUUUAAGCUCUUGUGCUUGGAUCGCUUUUCUUCUUCCUCCUUUCUUGUUCUCAACUCAAUUGUAAUCAAAGCAAGAGACACCAAGUUGUGGUGGUCCUUGUAGUGGACUAAGUGUCCCGUUUGAUUGAAGAGAAAAGCUCACUCGGUCUAGGUGACCGUUUGAGAGAGGGAAAGGGUUGAAAGAGACCCGAUCUUUGUGACCACCUCAACGGGGAGUAGGUUUGCAAGAACCGAACCUCGGUAAAACAAAUCACCGUGUUCAUCUGUUUUAUUUCUUUGUUGAUUUGUUUUCCCUUUCUUUCGGACUUGAUUAUAUUUCUAACGCUAACCCUUGCUUGUAGUUGUGCUUAAACUUUAUAAAUUUCAGAUUUGCCUAUUCACCCCCCUCUAGGCGACUUUCAAUUGGUAUCAGAGCCCGGUACUUCAUUAGAGCCUAACCACUCGAUGUCAUGUCGGGAGCUCACGCCAAGAAGGAGAUGGUGACCGGCGAGAAGCCCGCCACAAGCCACGGGAAGGCUCCAUCGGGAGAGUCCGGCAACAAAAGGGAGGAAUCACCUCCCCACGUCAAGUCGCACCGGAGUGGUGACCAGAAGAAGAAAAUGAAGAAAGUGUUCUACUGUGAGACCGAUUCUUCGUCGCCAUCCACCUCCACGUCCGACGCGCCGUCCGUCACUUCUAAGCGCCAUGAGCGCAAGAAGUUUAGUAAGAUCUCCUUACGCUAUCCUCGUAUUUCCAAAUGCACUCCUUUACUUUCCGUCCCACUAGGCAAACCACCGGUUUUUGACGGUGAACAUUAUUGUAUGUGGAGUGAUAAAAUGAGGCACCAUCUAACCUCACUCCACGCUAGUAUUUGGGACAUUGUUGAGUUUGGUGCGCAGGAACCAUCCGUGGGGGAUGAAGGCUAUGAUUCGGAUGAGGUAGCCCAAAUCCAGCACUUCAACUCCCAAGCCACCACUAUACUCCUCGCCUCUCUAAGUCGAGAGGAGUAUAAUAAGGUGCAAGGGUUGAAGAGCGCCAAAGAGAUUUGGGACGUACUAAAGACCACACACGAAGGAGACGAGGUGACCAAGAUCACCAAGAGCGAAACGAUCGAGGGGGAGCUCGGUCGCUUCAUGCUUCAUCAAGGGGAGGAGCCACAAGCAAUGUACAACCGGCUCUAGACCUUGGUGAACCAAGUGCGCAACCUCAGGAGCACCAAAUGGGAUGACCAUGAAAUGGUCAAGGUUAUUCUAAGAUCACUUAUAUUUCUUAAUCCUACACAAGUUCAAUUAAUUCGUGGUGAUCCUAGAUACAAGAUAAUGUCUCCCGAGGAGGUUAUAGGAAAAUUUGUGAGCUUUGAAUUGAUGAUCAAAGGCUCCAAGAAAAUCAUCGAGCAAGGCGCCUCCUCCACACCCGAAAUGCAACUCGUCGCAUUCAAGGCAACAGAGGAGAAGAAAGAAGAGUCUACUUCAAGUAGACUUCCCAUCGACGCCUCCAAGCUCGACAACGAGGAAAUGGCGCUCAUCAUCAGGAGCUUUCGCCAAAUCCUCAAGCAAAGGAGGGGGAAGGACUACAAGCCCCGCUCCAAGAAAGUUUGCUACAAGUGUGGUAAGCCCGGACAUUUCAUUGCUAAAUGUCCAUUAUCAAGUGAUAGUGACAGGGGCGAUGACAAGAAGGGGAGAAGGAAGGAGAAGAAGAAAUAUUACAAGAAGAAGGGCGGCGAUGCCCAUGUAUGCCACGAGUGGGACUCCGAUGAGAGCUCCACCGACUCCUCCUCCGACGAGAACGCCGCAAACAUCGCCAUCAACAAGGGUCUUCUCCUUCCCAACGUCGAUCACAAGUGCCUCAUGGCAAAGGACGACAAAAAGAAGAAGGUAAAAUCUAGAGCUUCCACUAAAUAUGCAACAUCUAGUGAUGAGGCUAGCUCUAGUGAUGAUGAGGAUGAUUUGAUCACCCUUUUUGCCAACUUAAACAUUCAACAAAAAGACAAAUUGAAUGAAUCGAUUAGUGUUAUUCAUGAGAAGGAUGAACUCUUGGAUAGCCAAGAGGACUUCCUUAUUAAAGAAAAUAAGAAGCAUGUUAAAGUUAAAAAUGCUUAUGCUCAGGAGAUAGAAAAAUGUGAAAAAUUAACUAGUGAUCUAAGCACUUGCCAUGACACUAUUUUCAACCUUAGAUUUGAAAAUGACAAAUUGAUUGCUAAGGUUGAGAAAUUAAAUGUUAGUGAUGAUUCUCUUGUCAACCUUAGAAAUGAUAAUGCUAAUUUGAUUGCUAAGGUUGACAAAUUGAAUGCAUCUCUCUCUAGCCUUAAAAUUGAGAAUGAAAAAUUAAUUGCUAAGGCUAAAGAUUUAAAUGUUUGCAAUGUUUCUAUUUCCAAUCUUAGAGAUGAGAACACUAUUUUACAUGCUAAGAUUGUUGAAUUAAAUACUUGCAAACCCUCAACAUCUACCGUUGAACAUGUUACUAUUUGCACUAGAUGUAGAGAUGUUAAUAUUGAUGCUAUUCAUGAUCACAUUGCUAUGAUUAAACAACAAAAUGAUCAUAUAGCAAAAUUAGAUGCUAAAAUUGCCGAGCAUGAAUUAGAGAAUGAAAAAUUUAAAUUUGCUCGUAAUAUGCUUUAUGGUGGGAGACGCCCUGGCAUUAAGGAUGGCAUUGGCUUCCAACAGGGAGGCGAUGUCAAACUCAAUGCCCCUAAGAAAUUGUCCAACUUUGUUAAGGGCAAGGCUCCCAUGGUUUAGGAUAACGAGGGUUACAUUUUAUACCCUGACGGUUAUCCCGAACAUAAAAUUAGGAGAAUUCACUCUAGGAAGUCUCACUCUGGCUCUCAUCAUGCUUUUAUGAAUAAGAGUGAGGCAUCUAGUUCUAGGAAAUCCACCCAUGCUAAAUUGCCUAAGAAGAAAACUCCUAUAGCAUCAAACGAACCUAAUUUUUCAUUUAAGACUUUUGAUGCUUCUUAUGUGCUCACUAACAAAUCAGGCAAAAUAGUUGCCAAAUAUGUUGGGGCUAAACACAAGGGAUCAAAGACUUGUGUUUGGGUACCCAAGGUGCUUGUUUCUAAUGUGAAAGGACCCAAGACCAUUUGGGUACCUAAGAACAAGGCCUAAACUUGUUUUGUAGGUUUAUGCAUGCGGGGGCUCAAGUUUGAUCAUCGAUAGCGGGUGCACAAACCACAUGACUGGGGAGAAAAUAAUGUUCUCCUCCUAUGAGAAAAAUCAUGAUCCCCAAAGAGCUAUCACAUUCGGGGAUGGAAAUCAAGGUUUGGUCAAAGGACUUGGUAAAAUUGCUAUAUCCCCUGACCAUUCUAUUUCCAAUGUUUUUCUUGUAGAUUCUUUAGAUUACAACUUGCUUUCUGUUUCUCAAUUAUGCAAAAUGGGUUACAACUGUCUUUUUACGGAUAUAGGUGUUACUGUCUUUAGAAGAAGUGAUGAUUCUGUAGCAUUUAAGGGAGUGUUAGAGGGUUAGCUAUACUUAGUUGAUUUUAAUAGAGCUGAACUCGACACUUGCUUAAUUGCUAAGACUAACAUGGGUUGGCUCUGGCAUCGCCGACUUGCCCACGUUUAAAUGAAGAAUCUCCACAAACUUCUAAAGGGAGAACACAUUUUGGGACUAACAAAUGUUCAUUUUGAGAAAGACAGGGUUUGUAGCGCAUGUCAAGCAGGGGAAGCAAGUUGGUGUUCAUCAUCCACACAAGAACAUAAUGACGACCGACAGACCGCUUGAGCUACUCCACAUGGACCUAUUCGGCCCGAUAGCUUAUAUAAGCAUCAACGGGAGUAAGUAUUGUCUUGUAAUUGUGGAUGAUUAUUCUCGCUUCACUUGGGUGUUAUUUUUGCAGGAAAAAUCUCAAACCCAAGAGACCUUAAAGGGAUUCUUGAGAUGGGCUCAAAAUGAGUUCGGCUUAAGGAUCAAAAAGAUAAGAAGCGACAACGGGACGGAGUUCAAGAACUCUCAAAUAGAAGGCUUCCUUGAGGAUGAGGGCAUCAAGCAUGAGUUCUCUUCUCCCUACACACCACAACAAAAUGGUGUAGUGGAGAGGAAGAAUAGAACUCUACUUGACAUGGCGAGGACCAUGCUUGAUGAGUACAAGACUUCGGACCGGUUUUGGGCGGAAGCAGUCAACACCGCUUGCUACGCCAUCAACCGUCUCUACCUUUGCCGAAUACUCAAGAAGACAUCGUAUGAACUACUCACCGGUAAAAAGCCCAAUGUUUCAUAUUUUAGAGUCUUUGGUAGCAAAUGCUUUAUUCUUGUUAAAAGAGGUAGAAAAUCUAAAUUUGCUCCUAAGGCUGUAGAAGGCUUUUUACUUGGUUAUGAUUCAAACACAAGGGCAUAUAGAGUCUUUAACAAGUCCUCUGGACUAGUUGAGGUUACUUGUGACAUUGUGUUUGAUGAGACUAACGGCUCUCAAGUAGAGCAAGUUGAUCUUGAUGAGCUAGAUGAUGAAGAGGCUCCAUGCGUCGCGCUAAGGAACAUGUCCAUUGGGGAUGUGUGUCCUAAGGAAUCCGAAGAGCCUCCACAAGCACAAGAUCAACCAUCUUCCUCCAUGCAAGCAUCUCCACCAACUCAAGAUGAGGAUCAAGCUCAAGAGGAUGAAAAUGAAGAUCAAGAAGAUGAGCCACCUCAAGAGGAGGGCAAUGAUCAAGGGGGAGAUGCCAAUGAUCAAGACAAGGAAGAUGACGACAGUCCAAGACCACCACACCCAAGAGUCCACCAAGCAAUACAAAGAGAUCACCCCGUGAACUCCAUCCUCGGCGAUAUUCAUAAGGGGGUAACCACUCGAUCUCGUGUUGCUCAUUUUUGUGAACAUUACACCUUUGUAUCUUCUAUUGAGCCAUAUAGGGUGGAAGACACAUUAAGGGAUUCAGAUUGGGUGUUGGCGAUGCAAGAGGAACUCAACAACUUCACGAGGAAUGAGGUAUGACAUUUAGUUCCACGCCCUAAUCAAAAUGUUGUAGGAACCAAGUGGGUCUUCCGCAACAAGCAAGAUGAGCAUGGUGUGGUGACAAGGAACAAAGCCCGACUUGUGGCCAAGGGAUAAUCACAAGUCGAAGGUUUGGAUUUCGGUGAAACCUAUGCACCCGUAGCUAGGCUUGAGUCAAUUUGUAUAUUACUUGCCUAUGCUACUUACCAUGGCUUCAAGCUUUAUCAAAUGGACGUGAAAAGUGCCUUCCUCAAUGGACCAAUCAAGGAAGAAGUCUAUGUUGAGCAACCUCCCGACUUUGAAGAUAGUGAGUACCCUAACCAUGUGUAUAAACUCUCUAAGGCGCUUUAUGGGCUCAAGCAAGCCCCAAGAUCAUGGUAUGAAUGCCUAAGAGAUUUUCUUAUCGCUAAUGGCUUCAAAGUCGGAAAAGCCGAUCCUACUCUCUUUACUAAAACAAUUGCAAAUGAUUUGUUUGUAUGCCAAAUUUAUGUUGAUGAUAUUAUAUUUGGGUCUACUAACAAAUCUACAUUUGAAGAGUUUAGUAGAUAAUGGUACAAAAAUUCGAGAUGUCUAUGAUGGGGGAGUUGAAGUAUUUCUUAGGAUUUCAAGUGAAGCAACUCCAAGAGGGCAUCUUCAUCAGUCAAACGAAGUACAUUCAAGACAUACUCACCAAGUUUGGGAUGAAGGAUGCCAAGCCUAUCAAGACACCCAUGGGAACCAAUGGGCAUCUUGACCUCGACACGAGAGGUAAAUCCAUAGAUCAAAAGGUAUACCGGUCGAUGAUAGGAUCUUUACUCUAUUUAUGUGCAUCUCGACCGGAUAUUAUGCUUUUCAUAUGCAUGUGUGCAAGAUUCCAAGCCGAUCCUAAGGAAGUUCACCUUAGGGUCGUGAAAUGAAUCUUGAGAUAUUUAGUUCAUACUCCUAAGUUUGGCCUUUGGUACCCCAGGGGAUCCACAUUUGAUUUAAUAGGAUAUUUAGAUGCUGAUUGGGCAGGGUGUAAAAUUGAUAGAAAGAGCACAUCAGGGACUUGUUAGUUCUUGGGAAGAUCCCUGGUGUCAUAGGCUUCAAAGAAGCAAAAUUUUGUAUCUCUUUCUACCACCGAAGCCGAGUACAUUACCGCAGGCCAUUGUUGCGCGCAAUUGCUUUGGAUGAGGCAAACCCUUAGGGACUAUGGUUACAAAUUAACCAAAGUUCCGCUCCUAUGUGAUAAUGAGAGUGCAAUCCACAUGGUGGAUAAUCCCGUUGAGCACAACCGCACUAAGCACAUAGCCAUUCGGUAUCACUUUUUGAGGGAUCACCAACAAAAGGGGGAUAUCGAGAUUGUUUAUAUUAACACCAAAGAACAAUUAGCCGAUAUCUUUACCAAUGUUGGGGACUUGUUCUCAAAUGCUAUGAGUUAAGAACAAGGCAACACAAGAAAUGUUAAACGUUAAUGCCCUUCGUCCUUCGAGACAUUAUUUCCCUUAGGAUAUAAUGAUCUUCAGACGAAGGUCAUGAAGGACAUACCUUCAUCAUUGCAAUAUACGAUAAUAAAAGGAGAAUCAUAUAGAAUGUAAGAGACAACAUGAAUAAGUAUGUAAUAUUAUCAGCACAUUUCUAUUUUAUUAUCAUGGACAAAUAGAAAUGAUAUCAAAUUACAAAUGUACCUUCAGCUUGAUGGAAGGUAAAAGUACAAGUGUGACGCACGAUCAAAUACAAGUCAGCGUGAACAGUACGGGAGCACUGUUCAUCUAUUUAUAGGCACGGGACACAGCCCAUGUAAAAUUACACCCAUGCCUUUUACAUUUGCUAAUGACUCUAUAGUGAUCCAUCGAGGUCUAAAUGACCUUUUCCCUUUUAAGUCGGUUCCCUUUUCCGCUGUUAUGCCAAAGCUCCCUUGCGCGUAGCUUCGGCGCUACGUCAACCUUCGUAUUCUUUGUGCUUCUCACACUGUGGUUCUGAUCCGAGUCCGAAGGUACCUGUUCAUGUAUCAUACUCCAGAAAUAAUGUUAAAUCAUGUUUUUGAAGACCUUCGGAAGACGAAGGCCCCCAACAGUAGCCCCUCGCAAUAUUAAUUUGUUAGAAUAACGAAUUCAAAUUGCGAUAUGGACGAAGGCCUUAAGCCAAAAUUCUGAAAAAACACCUUCCCUUUGCUAGAAUAGCAACAGUCGAUGACAGACGGGGCCCUCCAAUUUGGAACGCACUGGGCGUAUAAAUAGGAACUCACCCCGAGCACAUUUGGUACGCUAUCUGCCGCCUGCUUUGCUUGCUCAAUUUUUUAGCUCUUGCCUACCAACGCUUGCUUGGUUUUUUAGACUUUCUAAGCUUCGGCUUUAAGGACACAUUUUCGCCAUUUCCGAAGAGAAGAUGUCUCAAGACAAAAAAGUUGUUGCUGAGACGAAGCUGAGCGAAGAGGAGAAGCUCCAUGAGGAGAAGACUGCUGGAUUUGUUGAAUCAAUAGCAAAGAAAAAUACAGAAAAGAUUACUAAGGAGAUUCUAGAAGGCUUAUCUGAAGAUACUGAUGACAGCGACAGUUAUGAUGCGGAAAGCGGAGGCGAAGACUCCGAAGAUCGGCCCUGGCGACCAAGCAUGCAGUCUUCGGGAAAUCAACCAUCAAACAGAGUCAUCUUGAUAAUAUGAGAGGAAGGUAUUUUCGAUAUUAUUUUUUUGUUCUUAUAUUAACCCAUUCAUUCUUUUCAUAUAGGGUUUAAUACUUAGCAACGCCUUAAGGGCGCAAAAGAAUGUCGAAGACGAGAGUUGCACUAUUGCUCUCAACAACCUUCAAACAGAGGUUAUCAAGCUGAGGAACGAAGCUUUGGAAAAAGAAAAAAUUCUACUUACAUUGGUGGACAAAGUAAAGGGGGAUGAAGCUAACUUCAAGGCUCAAUCUGAAAUCCAAAGGAAUGAGAUUGAAAACCUUCAAAAACAACUGGCCGAAGCCAAAUUGAAAUGCGCUAUUGCCGAAGCUGACCGAGUUGCCAGUGAGUACUAGAAAAAUUAUCUUGAAAAACAGUUGCAGAGCUUCGCUCAUCAAAAGAAAGAUGUUUUGAAAAAUCUGUGGAAUGCGUGAAAAAGAUAAAAACUAGCUUUGCCAACGUUGGCGCAUAUUCAAGCGAAGAUAACUUCAUACGGGGCGACCCCGAAGGCGUAAUCGAGUGGAUCAGCGGUGAGGCCGAAGCCUUUGAAGAGAUUUUGAGUGACCGCGGGGACGUCUGUGCCUUCUCUGGUGCGAGAGGAAUUGCAGCUAUUUUGGAGAAAGCAGGGUGCGAACAUGUUAAAACUUUGGCCCAGGCCGAAGCUGCCUUCUCCACCGAUGAUAUAAAGGACCCCUCGGCCGAAGCAAACUCAAUAGGUGGAAAAAAUUUCACUGAUAUCUGGGAAAACGGUGGCCGAGGGAUGGCCCAUGAAAUUAUAAAGAAAAACGAAAAAGAUAUUCACGACACUCGAGAGUCAAUAAAAGAAGCUGAAAAGGCUGCGGAGCUUGAGAGACGAAUAUGUAUUACUUAAUGGUUUUUAACUUUGUUGUUUAUUUUUGUGACUUUGAACUGAUUUAUGUUUUCUACCUUAGCUGAACUAUCUCCUCCCCCAGCGCCCUUAGAGUCAUUGGCCGACCCAGAGGCAAAGGAAUCAACAGAACUUAUUAACAUGGCCGAAACUAUUGUAGACGAAGUCGUUACCCAACUGCUGACCGAAUUUGCACAUAAAGUUUUGAAGGAAGAAGAGUAGCUAUUGUAAAAACAUUGCUAGAAUAUUAAUGUAACAUUUGCCGGACUAUGCUUGUAAUAUUUGGUGCUCCUAGGUUUUGAAUGUAAUAUAUGAAUGGUUUUGUAAUUCAUUUCUUUGCGAUGCAUGAAACUUUUAUGUACAUACCGUUUUUGAGCCUUCGGCGAAAAAACACCUUCCCUUCUUUUCAUGUUCGUAAAGAAGAGCUUUUAUGCUUCGUAAAAAAUCCUCCAAUCGUCGCAAAAACAUUAAUGCUUCGUCAACAACAGAUUUUUCCUCCACAUCAGAGCUGAUGAAGCUGUAUUUCUUCAAAACUUAUUUUGUGCCUUAGCACAAUUUCACUUUUUUCGAAGCAUUCUUCGAAGGUCAACAUUGUAUCCCCUUCUUGUGCCAUUGAUGCAAUAUGAUGUAUGAUGUUAUGUUAUGUGAAAUGAUGUGAUGAUGUUAUGUUAUGCAAAAUGAUGUUUAUGCCGAAGACACACACUCACACCCCCAUAGUGGAAUACACAAUCUCUUUGCCGCUUAUUUUUCGGCUUCACCGCUUAUUUUUCGGUGUAUCAGCGCUGACUUUUCACUGUAAGUUCUGCAUUCCCUUAGGAACGUCUUUUGAACUUCUUCACCUUCUAUUUCGGCGGUAUUCGCGUUGACUUUUCGCGCUUCGCCUUAUAUUUCGGCGGUAUUUGGCUCUGCAUUCCCUUUGGAAUGACUUUUGAGCAGAAAACUUACACUGCGCUCCCUUAGGAACGACUUUUUGUAGCUUCGGCAAACUUACGCUGCGUUCCUUAGAACGACUUUUUUGUGGCUUCGGUGAUACUUGUAAUGUGAUUUUUAGCCCCGCGUUCCCUUAGGAACGACUUUUGUGCUUCAGUGACUUUUUGAACUUCGUGAGUCUGUGGAGAAGAUAUAUUUCACUAUGGCAAGAACGAAGUUAUUACAAGAAAUCAAGAGAGCUAGGUUUUCAAUAAUUGUUCCUUAUUAAAAAGGAAGUGAUAAUGAAUGUAAAAACUGCUUCAGGGGUAGGAUAUCUCUCAAUAGAUAUGCUUCGAUUCUAGCACAGUACUGUUGGCUGUGCGAGCUUCGGACUCCUCCCUGAAAUCUCGUUGCUGAUGGGUCUGUUGGCUCCCUUCUGGCUGCUGGCCUCGUGAAUAUGCAGGUUGUAGUGGUGGCAGAGGUGGAGGCUGUGGCCAAGAUGCAUGUGGCUGGCUAGCCGAAGCAACAGAAGCUGCAGGAUGGUUACCCACAUACUCUGGUAUGUAGGGUGAGUGAUACGAAGCAGUGUGCAUGACCUGCUUCGGCUGGUUCUGCUGAGCUGCGGCUUCUGCUAAUUCCUUUUGUUUCUGAAUGGUGACAUGGCACAUCCUUGUAGUAUGGCCCUUGUCCUCACCACAGAAUAAGCAAUUUUCCUAGGUUGAUCCCCAAACCUUCCUCCGAAGCCCCUGGCACCUCUGCCUCUUGGAGUUGGCGGCCGAAAAUAGGUUUGUUGCUGCCCCGAAACUUGCGAGGAAUAUUGUGGCUUCUGUUGCUGACUUCCUCUGUCGUCAUUCUGGGUGGAGUGGAUUGAUCUGACAUGCCUUGGGUGGAUUCUUCCUCCGAAGCCCCUGGUCAUCUCAGAGAACCUGUAGGCUUCCUCCCUUCUUUGGCGAAAGUCAUUGUCAGCCCGGAUGUAUUCAUCCAUCUUUUGAAGCAGCUUCUCCAAAGUCUGUGGAGGCUUUCUAGCAAAAUACUGGGCAGUAGGUCCUGGAUGAAGCCCCUUGAUCAUGGCCUCAAUGACAAUUUCAUUGGGCACAGUAGGCACUUGUGCUCUCAGACGCAAGAACCUUCAGACGUAUGCCUGGAGAUACUCCUCAUGAUCUUGCGUGCAUUGAAACAGAGCCUGAGCUGUGACUGGCUUCGUCUGAAAGCCCUGGAAACUUGUCACCAGCAUGUCCUUGAGCUUCUGCCAUGAAGUGAUGGUCCCUGGCCGAAGAGAAGAAUACCACGUUUGAGCCACAUUCUUAACUGCCAUGACGAAGGACUUGGCCAUGACAGCUGCAUUGCCUCCGUAUGAAGAUAUAGUUGCUUCAUAACUCAUCAAAAACUGCUUCGGGUCUGAAUGCCCAUCAUACAUUGGAAGCUGAGGUGGCUUGUAUGAUGGGGGCCACGGGAUAGCCUGCAGUUCUGCUGCCAAGGGAGAAGCAUCAUCAAAAGUAAAGGUAUCAUGAUUAAAAUCAUCAUACCAUCCAUCGUCGUUGAACAAGCCCUCUUGAUGAAGCUCCCUGUGUUGGGGCCUUCGAUCUUGCUCGUCUUGAGCAAGGUGGCGUACUUCUUCAGUGGCUUCGUCAAUCUGCCUUUGAAGGUCAGCUUGUCGGGCCAUCUUCUCCUUCUUCUUUUGCACUUGCUGAUGAAGCAUCUCCAUGUUUCUGAUUUCUUGGUCCAACUCGUCCACCUGGGGUGUUGGACUAGUGGCCUUCCUCUUCUGGCUUCGGGCCUCUCGAAGAGAAAGGGUCUCCUGAUUUGGGUCCAGUGGCUGCAGAGCGGCAGCCCCUAGCGCUGAAACUUUCUUCGGUGGCAUGACGAAGGUCAAUGCUUGCCGAAGGUGGUCGAAAAGAGUUCACCCCACGGUGGGCGCCAAUGUUGGGGACUUGUUCUCAAAUGCUAUGAGUUAGGAACAAGGCAACAUAAGAAAUGUUAAACGUUAAUGCCCUUCGUCCUUCGAGACAUUAUUUCCCUUAGGAUAUAAUGAUCUUCAGACGAAGGUCAUGAAGGACAUACCUUCAUCAUUGCAAUAUACGAUAAUAAAAGGAGAAUCAUAUAGAAUGUAAGAGACAACAUGAAUAAGUAUGUAAUAUUAUCAGCACAUUUCUAUUUUAUUAUCAUGGACAAAUAGAAAUGAUAUCAAAUUACAAAUGUACCUUCAGCUUGAUGGAAGGUAAAAGUACAAGUGUGACACACGAUCAAAUACAAGUCAGCGUGAACAGUACGGGAGCACUGUUCAUCUAUUUAUAGGCACGGGACACAGCCCAUGUAAAAUUACACCCAUGCCCUUUACAUUUGCUAAUGACUCUAUAGUGAUCCAUCGAGGUCUAAAUGGCCUUUUCCCUUUUAAGUCAGUUCCCUUUUCCGCUGUUAUGCCGAAGCUCCCUUGUGCGUAGCUUCAGCGCUACGUCAACCUUCGUAUUCUUUGUGCUUCUCACACUGUGGUUCUGAUCCGAGUCCGAAGGUACCUGUUCAUGUAUCAUACUCCAGAAACAUUGUUAAAUCAUGUUUUUGAGGACCUUCGGAAGACGAAGGCCCCCGACAACCAAGCCACUAGAUGAGAAAACUUUUACCAAUCUUAGGCAUGAGCUAAACAUUCUAGAUUCUAGGAAUUUUGAUUGAUAUUUUGCACACAUAGCUUAUUUCAAUACCUUUGAUCAUAUCUCUUUCAUGUGCUAUGACUAAUGUGGUUUUCAAGUAUAUUUCAUGCUAAGUCAUAGAUUGAAAGGAAAAUGGAGUCUUCGGCGAAGAAAAGGCUUCCACUCCAUCGAAUUAUUCAUCCUUCGCCGACACUCCACAUCGCUCUCCAAUUUGGUAUAAUCUUCACUCCUACAUUAUUUACCAAAGGGGGAGAAAGUUUGAAAAAGGGCUUAUAUUUUCACUCACAAGUAUCCGUUUUUGGCGAUUCAUGCCAAAGGGGGAGAAAGUAUUAGCCCAAAGCAAAAGGACCGCACCACCACCAAUUUCAAAAAUGAAGUCUUUUAAAUUUGUACUAAAAGAAGGUUUUUCAAUUGGUAUCUUAUUUUUGAUAGAAUUUUCAAAUUGGUAUAACCCAUUUCAAAAUUAAUAUCUAAAACUCUCUUGAACAAUAAGAGGAGAAUUUCAUUAAGGGGGAGUUUUGUUUAGUCAAAGGAAAAGCAUUUGAAACAGGGGGAGAAAAUUUCAAAUCUUAAAAAUGCUUCUCAAAAUCUUACUCAUUUACCUUUGACUACUUGCAAAAAGACUUUGAAAAGAAUUUCCAAAAGAGUUUGCAAAAACAAAACAAGUGCUGCAAGCGUGGUCCAAAAUGUUAAAAUAGAAGAAAGCAUCCAUGCAUAUCUUAUAAAAUGUAUAUUGGUUUAAUUCCAAGUAACCUUUGCACUUUCAUUAUGCAAACUAGUUCAAUUCUGCAAUUAUAUAUUUGCUUUGGUUUGUGUUGGCAUCAAUCAUCAAAAAGGGGGAGAUUGAAAGGGAAAUAGGCUUACACCUUUUCCUAAAUGGUUUUGGUGGUUGAAUUGCCCAACGCAAAUAAUUGGACUAACUAGUUUGCUCUAGAUUAUAAGUUCUACAUGUGCCAGAGGUUCAACACAAACCAAUAAAAAGUCCAAGAAAGGGUUCAAAUAAAAAGAGCAAAAGACAACCGAAUGCUGCCCUGGUCUGGCGCACCGGACAGUGUCCGGUGCACCAGGGAGAUUCACUCCAAACUUGCCACCUUUGGGAAUUUGGGAAGCCACUCCGCUAUAAUUCACCGGACUGUCCGGUGUAGCACCGGACUGUCCAGUGUGCCAAGCGGAGCAACGGUCGUUAGCGCAACGGUCGAGUUGAACGGUCGGCUCACAACGCUACAGUGCGCGUACUGCGCGCGCAGAAGUUAGAGCAGGUGCAGAUGGCGCAUCGGACAGUGAACAGGACCUGUCCGGUGCACCACCGGACUAUCCGGUGGCCCACAUGUCAGAAGCUCCAACGGUCGAACCCUAACGGUUGGGUGACGUGGCUGGCGCACCGGACAGUGGCCGGUGGCGCACCGGACUGUCCGGUGCGCCCAUCGACAGUAGAGUUCCCCAACGGCCACUUUGGUGGUUGGGGCUAUAAAUACCCCCCAACCACCACACUUCAAUGCAUCCAAGUUUUCAGCCAUCAAACCUCAUACAAGAGCUCUAUACUUCAUUCCAAGACACAAACAAAGAGAUCAAAUCCUCUCCCAAGUCCGGAAUCACUUCAAACAAAUUAGUGACUAGAGAGAGAGACUUUUGUGUUCUUUUGAGCUCUUGCGCUUGGAUCGCUUUUCUUCUUCCUCCUUUCUUGUUCUCAACUCAAUUGUAAUCAAAGCAAGAGACACCAAGUUGUGGUGGUCCUUGUAGUGGACUAAGUGUCCUGUUUGAUUGAAGAGAAAAGCUCACUCAGUCUAGGUGACCGUUUGAGAGAGGGAAAGGGUUGAAAGAGACCCGGUCUUUGUGACCACCUCAACGGGGAGUAGGUUUGCAAGAACCGAACCUCGGUAAAACAAAUCAUCGUGUUCAUUCGUUUUAUUUCUUUGUUGAUUUGUUUUCCCUCUCUUUCGGACUCGAUUAUAUUUUUAACGCUAACCCCGACUUGUUGUUGUGCUUAAACUUUAUAAAUUUCAGAUUUGCCUAUUCACCCCCCCUUUAGGUGACUUUUAGUCUCAACACCUCCUCUCUCGUACGAUGCGCUUUACCAUGGAAGAUCCACCGAGUAUAGUCUGGCGUAAAUCUGAUCUUCCAAAUAUGUUCUACCAUGGCCUUCUUUGAUUUUCUUUUCCGGUUGGCACAUUUGCUGCACGGGCAUGGGACUAGACUCGCUCCUUUAGCAGCUUUGCCAUAUGCCCGUUCCACAAAAGCAUCGGUCUUUCUAAUCCAUUCAGGGGUGACAUCAUUCCUACUUACACGGCAUGUGUACAUCCACUCACGGUCUUCCAUCCUCUAACAUAUGUAACCGAGUAUAGUUUAAUAUAAACAUGUAAUGCAUGUACGCUAUGUUCCUACCUUAUAAUAGGUGAGUAUAGUUCUUAAUCUCACUCGCGGUUGCGUAGACGAAGUUAGUUUCCAUGCUCUACUUCGAUCCAAGACAGAGUUCCGGCAGCACCUCCCCGUUGUUCUCCGGAUACACGCCCUAGCAGGUAGAAUGUACUGUCCGGAGAUCAACAUGGAGGUGAAACCGAAACUCUGUCUCGGACCGGAGUAGAGCAUGGAAACUAAUACCAGGGCGACGGUGGAGUAGGGAUAGCGGGGCUGUGGCGGGUCGGUGCAGUGGCGACGUGUCGCAGUGCAGGUUCUAGUGUGGCGGCAAGGAAUACCUCUGCAAAAAAAAAUUAACACAAGUUUAUCAACAAAAAAAUCGGCAGGACUUCCCCUGCACGAGGAGGUUGCAAAAAACCAGCAAAUAAAACUAACAGCACGAUGGCUGACAUCCACACAUAUACUAGCAAAAAAUAGACUUGCGUGUGUUAUUUACAAUUGUGUUAGUUACACACAAUCUAUUGAUGCCAUAUUUGUUGUGUACUAGCGAUUGGCAAGAAGAAUCAACUUUUAGGCACUAAAACAUCUAGUGGGUUCAAAUUAAAGAACUUCUUCUAUUAAUUACAGAACCACCCCAUCGGCCGACCAGGAUCCAAAUUAAAGAACUUCUUCUUCUAUUAAUUAUAGUAUAUUAUAAUUACCAAGUCUCUUCUUAUAUUUACAUGUUCAUUUGCUUGCUUCUUGCAUAACAUAACGGCGAUCGAUGAUGACCAUCGUUAGUUUUAGUCCUACGUGUAUUUGAUUCAAUCCCUCCAUGUUCAUAGUAUAAAUUCAACCAAACCUAAAUAAGUUUCAGUCAGCUUGAUCUUAAAAUUGCAUCAUACACACACAUACAUAGUCUUACUAGAAGUAAGCAAUUUCUUUUAAACUAAUUUCCAGCCAACAUUGAUGAAUGAACUAGAAUGUGGCUAUAACCGAGACCUGUGUGGGUGGUGCUGGAGAUGGGGACGUUGGGCCGAGGCUCACCGGCGUCGAGGCCUGUCCGAAGAUGGCCGACCGCCAGGCCGGGGACGGGGCUCGUUGGAGAUGGCCGGGUCGAGCGACGGUGGGGACGUCGGAGGCAGGGAGGAUGGCCGGCACGGUGUCCGGAGCCGGAGGGGAUGACCGGAGAGGAGGAUGGUCGGCGCUUGCUCCGAUGGCGUUGGCGGCGAGUGGCGUUGGCGGAGGGGACGACUGGUUAGGGCUAUGUACACAGACUUUGCCGAGUGCCAUAUCACGGGCACUCGGCAAAGAUUUUUUUUAAAUUUAAAAAUAAACUUUGCCGAGUGUCACAGAUCACUGACAGGCACUUGGCAAAGAUUGUUUUAAUUUUUUUAAAAAAACUUUACAGAGUGUCCCACGGCAGGCACUCGACAAAGAAUGCUUUACUGACUGCCUUAUUUUGACACUCGACAAAGAAUUCUUUGCCAAGUGCCCGAUAAAAAGCACUUGGCAAAGCACCGAGCACUCGGCAAAGAGCCGGAUUCCGGUGUGGUUGUUUCAUGGAAGUUGUAAGUAGACCAUCUUAACAAGGUCAACAAUAGAAGUACAACUCACAACAUUAGAUACUGCCAAAGUUAAUGUUGAGAGGCUUCGUGAACUCCUUAUGGAUUUACUAGUAGUUGAAAAACCAAUACUGGUUAUCUAUAUGAGCUAUAAUAAUUAAACAUUGGUAAUCAAAGUGAACAAUUCUUAGGUUAACAUGAAGACUACAAAGCAUGUCAAGAACGGUUGAAACUGUUAAAACACUAAGAAACUCUAGAUUAAUUGUGUUGGACUAUGUCCAUACUUCUAAGAAUUUGGUAUGCCAGUUUAUAGAAGAUUUGUCACAUAAUGUGAUAGAUGGUGCAUCGAGAAAGAUGGACUUGAGACCCACUUAAUGCCAUUCCAUAGUAGUAGCAUUUUCUAUGUGAUUGGAGAUCUCAUGAAGUAAAAUGGUGAAAUAAGCUAGAGAAUGACUGAUGGAGAGACUCCUUAAAUAAAAUCUAGGUAAUUUCAUAUGAACAUUUCUCCUUCGAUGUACGAUAGGCUAACUAAAAUCUUAAUAUGAUUUGAGUGACAUAUCUAAGCAGGGAUGUUAUCUUAUAGAACAUCCUAUAAGGAACACACCUAUAUGACUUUGACUACUAAUCACAGUCUAUGAUAUGUGGGAAAUAUUUUUUUACUCAUGAAAGGCCUCGAAGUUUGACUUAUAUGCUUCAAACCAAUGGAUAACUGAUUGAAUCUGUUUCAGACAGCAGCAUAGUUAACUUCAAAAUUCUAUAUCUCCCAAACUUCUCAACCAAAAAUUAUUAAAUUAUGCUGACAGUAAGAACUUUUAUCCCUCUACAAAAGUCUCCAUAGUUGGAAGAGCCAAUUCGGCCAUUUACUAGAUGAAACCUACCAGUUAACAGACCCGCUCAUUUUUGUCAGGCAAACAAGAACCCUUAUAUAUCAAAGAGUAGUGGAUUUGAAUUUGUCUAAUAUGAAGUUUAUGGGCUUGGAUCAUUUAAAGUAUUUUAUAAUUCUGAAAGACAAGAUUAAACUAACUAUGUAUGAUCCUUUAGCACCGUACAGAUGGUCGAUGGGACAGUUACAUGGUUUAUAUAGAUGGACCUAUCUAUAUUCCUUCAGUGGUUGAGAACAAGGUAAAGGUGUGUCACACUCACGCGUGCGCCGCCUCCGCCGAGACGAGGCAUGGCGUUGCAGGGUGAGGCAUGGCAUGGUGCAGCACGAUCGCAGUCAUGGUCGUGGCACAGUGUAGCACUGUUGUGGAUAGAUAGAUAAACUAUUGUUGUAGUUAGAGUGCAUGAGUUUUUGAAUGCAACACUAGAAUUUUCACAAUUUAACUUAAUUAAGAAGUUAUAUCUUGAUGACACAGAGUUACCUGACCAUUGAUCUCACAUGCCCUUUUAGCUCUCUCGUACUCUAGACUUACCCUGACUAUUUAGGUCUCCUGACUCGCCAAUAUAAACACCAUCCUAUCAUUUGCUGUCGAAUACUUCUGUGUCACAACUCAACUGUCAGAUGAGUACUCCAUUACAGCACUGAGCAGGCCUCCGAAAUGAAUAUCUACUCAGAUGAAGGACGACAAUCGUGUUCUAGGGAAAUAUCAGCGACACAACUCCUUACUUCCUCCGCUUCUUCCUAGUGUUUUUUGUUGUGAUUGAGUCGACAUAGCAACAACACUGCACUAUUACAACCAGUACGACUAUAUCAACUAGCAAUGUCUUCCUUAUAUGUUACUAUUUAUUUUGCUCAUAUUCAUUAUGUUUAAAUCACAUAGGCGCCUUUAUGUUGGCAUCAAAAAAUCAGUAUCAACUUUAUAGAUUAAAAUGAAACUAAAAGUACCUAAAUUUCUAUCGGUGGGGAUCGAGUGAUUCUUUAAACCGAUUAUUACACAAGUUAACCACACUAAAAUUAACAAUGGUGAAUCGUGCCAUGAUUUUUUUCUAGUGGAAAAUAGCCAAACCAAGCAACACAUAUGUGGCUAUCGUUACACAUGUGUAAAGGUAUUGCAUCACACCAUUGUCACCCAUGUAUGUGGACAAUACCGAGAGGAAAAACCACUUAUUUAUUGUAUUUUAUCAAGUUUGUCUUGCUUACGUAUAAAUUAUAACCCAACAAAGUAAUCACUAAAUGUCAAAACCAACUAGAUACCAUGUCAUCUCUACCUUAUCUUACUAAUAUUCUUUUUGCAAAAUCCAAAAUUAAUCUUGCACAAGCACAAGGACUGAGAUGUGUAUAAAUAUCUCUUAAAUUAGUAGCUAAUAUAUCGCACAUAUUAUUGAGACCAACUAGCAACAUAGAAAGCACAAUAGUGUACCAACAAUGGCAGCCAAAAUAUUUUGCCUCCUUAUGCUCCUUGGUCUUUCUGCAAGUGCUGCUACGGCGACCAUUUUCCCGCAAUGCUCGCAAGCUCCUAUAGCUUCCCUUCUUCCCCCGUACCUCUCACCAGCGGUGUCUUCGGUAUGUGAAAACCCAAUUCUUCAACCCUACAGGAUCCAACAGGCAAUCGCAGCUGGCAUCUUACCUUUAUCACCCUUGUUCCUCCAACAAUCAUCAGCCCUAUUACAACAGUUACCUUUGGUGCAUUUAUUGGCACAAAACAUCAGGGCACAACAACUACAACAACUUGUGCUAGCAAACCUUGCUGCCUACUCUCAGCAACAGCAGUUUCUUCCAUUCAACCAACUAGGUUCAUUGAACUCUGCUUCUUAUUUGCAACAACAACAACUACCAUUCAGCCAGCUACCUGCUGCCUACCCCCAGCAAUUUCUUCCAUUCAACCAACUAGCAGCAUUGAACUCUCCUGCUUAUUUACAGCAGCAACAACUACUACCAUUCAGCCAGCUAGCUGGUGUGAGCCCUGCUACCUUCUUGACACAACCACAGUUGUUGCCGUUCUACCAGCACGUUGCGCCUAACGCUGGCACCCUCUUACAACUGCAACAAUUGCUGCCAUUCAACCAACUUGCUUUGACAAACCCAGCAGUGUUCUACCAACAACCCAUCAUUGGUGGUGCCCUCUUUUAGAUUUCUUAUGAGUUAUAGUUCAAUAAUAAAGUUUUUUAUCUGAUGUUUGUGGCUUCCCAGAAAUAAGAAAGUACAUUUCUAGAUUCUUAUGUGCUUCUAGUCUUCAAAUGUGGUUGAUAGUUAUUGUUGGGGACUUGUUCUCAAAUGCUAAGAGUUAAGAACAAGGCAACAUAAAAAUGUUAAAUGCUAAAGUCCUUCGUCCUUCGAAGCAUUAUUUCCCUUAGGAUAUAAUGAAUUUCGGACGAAGGCUAUGAAGGACAUACCUUCAUAAGCACAACGAAUGAUGAAGAAGAAUUCAUAUAAAUUAUGAGAUAUAACAUAAACAUUUAAACAUUAUUAUUAACUCAUUUCUAUUGACUUGUCAGGGAAAAAUAGAAAUGAUAAUAAAUUACAAAUAUACCUUCGGCUUGAGAGAAGGUAAAGGUACAAGCGUGAGGCAAAAGCAAAUGCCAAGUCAGCGUGAACAGUACGGGAACACUGUUCAUCUAUUUAUAGGCACGGGACGCAGCCCAUGCAAAAUUACAUCCAGGCCCUUUGCUUUUGACAAUAACUCUAUAGUAAUCUAUCUGGGUCUAGAUAGUCUUUUCCUCUUUAAGUCGGUUUCCUCUUUUCUGCCAUCAUACCGAAGCUCCCUUGCGCACAGCUUCGGCUCUGCUCCAUCCUUCGUAUUGUUUCCGUGCUUCUUCAUACCGUGGGCUCUUGUUCGAAGAUCCCUAUCCACACAUUAUACUCCAGAGGCAUUGUUAAAUCAUGUUUUUGAGGACCUUCGGAAGUCGAAGGCCCCCAACAGUAGCCCCUCGCAAUAUUAAUUUAUUAGAAUGAUAAAUUUAGAUCGCGACAUGGACGAAGGCCUUAAGCCGAAGGUCCGAAAAAACACCUUCCCUUUGCUAGAAUAGCAACAAUCAAUGACAAGCGGGGCCCUUUCCCUUGCAACACACUAGGCGUAUAAAUAAGAGCAUACCGCGAGCGGAUUUGGCACGCUUUUUGCCAUCUGCUCUUGCUCACCCAACUUUUAGCCCUUGCACACCAACACCUGCUUGGCCUUUUUUUAAAAAAAUUUAAGCUUCGGUUUCGAGAGCACUUUCUCAGCAUUUUCGAAGAUGUCUGAAGAUAAGAAAGUUGUCGCUGAGUCGAAGCUGAGACUUUCUGAGGAGAUGAAUCUCGGCUUUCUUGAAUCAAUAGCGAAGACAAAUACAGAGAAGAUUACUAGGGAGAUUUUAGAAGGUUUAUCUGAAGACACUGGUGACAGUGACAGUUAUGAUGUGGAAAGUGGUGGUGAAGAUUCCGAAGAUCGACCCUGGUGACCAAGCCAUGCAGUUUUUGGAAAAUCAAGCAUUAAACUAAGCCAUCUUGUUAAUAUGAGGGGCAGAUAUUUUCGGGAUUUAUCUAUUGUGAGGGCUGAUGAAGGAGAAAAAACUUGUCCUACUCCUGAGGAAAAUGAAGUCGUGAUAUUCCGAAGCUUCUUCAAGGCUGGGCUUCGGUUUCCUUUAAGCGGUUUCGUGGUUGAAGUUUUGAAGAUUUUUGAAAUCUACCUCCAUCAAAUUACUCCUGAAGCAAUCAUAAGGAUGGGAAUCUUCGUAUGGGCUGUGAAGAGCCAAGGUUUGGAGCCGAAUGCAAAAAGUUUCUGCAAUAUGCAUGAGCUAUUAUACGAGACGAAACCUUGGGGUAAAGAGAAAUAUCAUAACAAUUUUGGCUGCUACAGCUUCGGCGCCCGCUCUGGGUCAAGCUGUCCCGUGCCAACUUUUUGGAAGAGAUGGCCCGGGGACUCGAUGAAGGAAUGGUGUUAUGUAAAAAACGACUUGAAAACGCGAGAAGGUAUUAAAGAUAUCAUCAUGCGCCCCAUCUGGCAGCGUUUCGGCCUUCGGAAACCGAAGGUGGAUAUUGACGAAGCAACCGAAGAAUGCCAGAGGGCCUUCGGCGUAGUUUGCUCUUUCAUCGGGACAAGGGAUUUGAUCCAGGAACAUAUUUCCUUCAGAGUAUGGCCACUUGUAGAAAAGUGGGAAAUGCCGAAGGAAACCAUCAGCAAACCUGAUGAAGUGGACUAGUUAGGUUAAAAUAUACCUUCAGAUAUGGAGAUAAGUUUGUGGAGCCAGAUGAUGACUGGCUGAAAUGUAUUGAGGCCACAAGCGAUGAACUGCUUGGGCCAUAUUCGAAGACAGAAGAUACUGCACUGUCCGCGGCCUUCGGAGGUCGGAAGAAGAGACUCAACCGAGUGUUUGAUGCCAUUGGGUUCGUCUAUCCUGACUACCGUUACCCAACACAGGGUCAGAAAGGGAAAGAUACGACUUCUGUGAAGAAAGUUGCUUCAGCCGCUCCUAGUGAGCCGGCGCCGAAGAGGAAAAAGAUGAAGGUUCUUACGCACCGGCCACGCUAUAUUGAACCGGCCACAGUGCCUGAGUUUGUCGGUGAGACCUCUUCGGCCACCGAAGCCAAGGAGCCGACUCUCCUGCCGAAUAUUGAAGAGCCGGCCAAAAUGCCGGCAAUGGAAAAAAUAGAAGAACCGAGGGCUGAAGAGACAAAGACAUCGGAAAAGAAUGGUUAACGUGCUAAUGCCGAAUAUUGAAGUCCUUCAGCAAGAAUCGAGGUGCUAAUGCCAAUGCCGAUGGCACAAAAAGACCUUACGACAACCCCCAAGAGGAAAAGAAUGGUUAACGUGCUAGAUGUACUGGAAACGAUAAAAUCUUCAAGCUCUACUCCGAAGAUAGCUACUGAAGUUCCAAAGACACAAACUGAGGCCAAAGCUGCCAAAAGUCAAGCGGAAACUGAAACUGGGCUUUCAGAGCCUACCAAGAGGGAAUUCUUGGAAAUUGAAAAAGAAACGGAAAAAGAAUCUGCAGAAGAAACUUUUUCUGAGAAAAUCGUCACACAUAUUCCCGAAGCAUCUUCUGAAGCUUCUGACUAUGUAUUACGUCAUGCUUCGGGUAAAAAUCUGAGCGAAAAAGAAAAAAGAGAAGCUCAAUUCUAUGCGCAAAAAUUGAAAUAUCCAAAAGGGGCGCUGAUAUUCAACGGCAGCGGAGAAGAAGACUUCUUGUAUUGUCUCCCUCAUAGCAAGGAGAUUUCUGUCUGUCGGGAGAUGAGCAAAAGCUUCGGAUUCCCAACAUUAGAAGACGGGCUCUUGGUGUUGUCAAAGGACGAGCUAGCCGACAGCUUAGCGUAUAAUAGUUUAAAGGUGAAGAAAAUGAGAUCUUUGUAUUAUUUCUUGAAACCAAAAUUUUUCAUUUGCUUAAACUUAUUAACGCAUUUUUUUACAGGGUCUUAUACUUAGCAAUGCCCUCAGGGCACAAAAGAAUGACGAAGACGAAGGGUGCGCCAUAGCCCUGAGCAACCUUCGUUCCGAAGUAAUUGAUCUAAGGAACGAAGGUCUCGAAAAAGAUAAAAUAUUACAUUCGUUGGUGAAUAAAAUAAAAGAAGAUGAAGCUACUUUCAAAGCUCAAGCUGAGGCUCAGAAGCACGAAAUUGAGAAUCUUCGGAAACAACUAGCCAGAGCUACAGAAGAAUACACAAUUGAAGAAACAAAACGAGAAAUUAGUGAACAAUGGGCAAAUCAUUUAGAAAAAAACGUUGAAGAGCUUCGUGCGUCCAAGAAAAGGUGUUAUGAAAAAUCUAUAGAAUGUGUUAAGAAAAUAAGAACCAGCUUCACCAACGUUGGCGCGUUUUCAAGUGAAGAAAAUUUCAUGAGGGGUGACCCCGAAAGCCCAAUUGGAUGGAUCAGCCACGAAGCUGAAGCUUUUGAAUAGCCGUGGAGACAUAUGUGCCUUCUCGGGUGCCAGGGGGAUUGCCGCUGUUUUGGAGAAGAAAGGUUGCGAUCACGUGAAAUCCCUGGCACAGACCGAAGCCGUUUUAUCCUCUGAAGACAUAAAAGACCCUUCGGCCGAGGCGAGUUUGGUUGGUGGGAAAUUUUUCACCGACAUCUGGGAAAACGGUGGCCGGGAGAUGGCUCAAGAAAUUAUACGGAGAAGCGAGAAUGGUAUACAUGACGCUAGAAAAGUAGCAGAGGCCGCUGAGAAAAGUGUGGAUCUCGAAGGGCGAAUAGGUAUUAACUAGUAAUUUUUGGCUUUUUGUUGUAACCUUUUGAUUUUGAACUUGUUUACACUUUGUAACAUGGUCGCACCUUCUCCUCCCUCAGAGCCUGCCGAGCCAUCGACAGACCCCCACGUAAAGGGGGAUGACGAGAUUAGAAGAAUGGCUGAAGCUAUCAUGGACAAAGUUGUUGAUCAAUUACUAAACGAAGCUGCAGAAAUAGUUCUAAGGGAAGAUUAGAUGUUAUUGUAAAAACAUUUGGAAUGUAAUAUUUGUUGAACAAUAUGUGUAAUAUUUUGUAACUUUGAAUGUAAUAUAUAAUCUAUUUGUGGUUCAAUUCUUUACGAUGCAUGAAACUUUACAUACAUACCGUUUUUGAGCCUUCGGCGAAAAAACACCUUCCCUUCUUUUCAUGCUUCGUAAAUAAUAUCCGUAUAUCAUAAAAACAUCCAAUUUUCGUAAAAUCAGUAACCAAUAGAUCUUUUUAUUUCAUAAAAACAUCCAAUCUUCGUAAAAUCAGUAACCAAUCUUCGUAAAGGCAUGCUUCUUCAAUAAUUAUUUUUGUGCCUUGGCACUGUUUCUUCGAAACAAUCUCCGAAUAUCAACAUUGAAACCCCCUUCUUGCGUCAUUGAUGCAAUAUGAUGUAUGAUGUUAUGCUAUGCAAAUGAUGUGAUGAUGUGAUGUUAUGCAAAAUGAUAUUUGCCGAAGAUCAACGUUUAUUUUUCACUGCAAGCCUCCCUUAGGAGCUUCUUCGCCUUUUACUUCAGCGGAAUCAGCAUUUAUUUUUCGCUGUAAGCCUCCCUUAGGAGCUUCUUCGCCUUUUACUUUCAGCGGAAUCAGCGUUUAUUUUUUGCUGUAAGCCUCCCUUAGGAGCUUCUUCGCCUUUUACUUUCAGCGGAAUCAGCGUUUAUUUUUCGCUGUAAGCUCUGCAUUCCCUUCGGAACGACUUUUGAGCAGAAAACUUACGCUGCGCUCCCUUAGGAACGACUUUUUGUUAUUUCGGAGAUUCUCCUUGUAACCAUAAAUUCUUAUGCUUCGGCAACUCUGUUAUUUUGUGGAGAAGGUAUAUUUUUACUGUGGCGAAAACGAAGCUAUUACAAGAAAUUGAAAACGACAAAAAGCACUUAGGCUUUCAAUAAUUGUUCCUUAUUAAAAAGAAAAUGAUACUGAAUGUAAAAACUACUGCCGAGGUAGGAUAUUUGUUAGUAAAUAUGCUUCGAUUCUGGCACAGUACUAUUGACUGUGCGAGCUUCGGACUCUUCUCUAAAGUCCCGUUGAAGGUGGAUAUGCUGACUCCCUUCUGGCUGCUGGCUUUGUUGCAUUGGUGGUGGAGGUGGAGGCUGCUGCCAAGAUGCCUGAGGUUGGCUUGCCGAAGCAACAGAAGCUGCAGGGUGGUUGCCUACAUACUCUGGAAUGUAAGGCGAAUGGUAUGAAGCAGUGUGCAUAACUUGCUUCGGCUGGCUCUGUUGGGCUGCAGCUUCUGCUAUCUCCUUUUGUUUCUGGAUGGUAACAUGGCACAUCCUGGUGGUAUGGCCCUUGUCCUCUCCACAGAAUAGGCAAUAGAUCUUCCUGGGCUGAUCCCCAAAUCUUCCUCCGAAGCCCCUGGCACCUCUACCCCUUGGAGCUGGAGGCCGAGGAUAGCUCUGCUGCUGCCCCGAAGCCUGGGAGGAAUAUUGCGGCCUCUGCUGCUGGCUUCCCCUGUCAUCAUUCUGAGUGUUAUGAAUCGAUCUGACAUGUCUAGGGUGAACUCUCCCUCCGAAGCCACUGGCUAUUUUGGAGAACCUGUAAGCUUCCUCCCUUCUCUAUCGGAAGUCGUUGUCAGCGCGGAUGUAUUCGUCCAUCUUCUGAAGCAGUUUCUCCAGAGUCUGAGGGGGCUUCCUGGCAAAGUACUGGGCUGAAGGUCCUGGCCGAAGCCCCUUAAUCAUGGCCUCAAUGACAAUUUCAUUGGGCACUGUUGGUGCUUGUGCCCUCAGGCGUAAGAACCUUCGGACAUACGCCUGAAGAUAUUCUCCGUGGUCUUGGGUGCACUGGAAUAAGUCUUGAGCGGUGACCGGCUUCGUUUGAAACCCUUAGAAACUGGUGAUCAGCAUAUCCUUCAGCUUCUGCCAUGAUGUGAUUGUUCCUGGCCGAAGGGAGGAGUACCAGGUUUGUGCAACAUUCUUGACGGCCAUGACGAAAGACUUCGCCAUGACUGCAAUAUUGCCACCAUAGGAAGAUAUCGUUGCUUCGUAGCUCAUCAGAAACUGCUUCAGAUCUGAGUGUCCGUUGUACAUGGGGAGUUGAGGUGGCUUGUAAGACGGAGGCCAAGGUGUAGCCUGCAGUUCUGGUGAUAGAGGAGAAGCAUCGUCAAAAGCAAAAUUUCCAUGAUGGAAAUCCUCAUACCAGUCAUCCUCGUUGACGAAGCCCUCUUGGUGGAGCUCUCUGUACUGGGGCCUCCGGUUCUAUUCAUCUUGCGUAAGAUGACGAACCUCUUUAGAGGCUUUGUCUAUCUGCCUUUGUAGGUCAGCUAGCCGGGCCAUCUUUUCUUUCUUCUUUUGCACUUGUUGAUGCAGCAUUUCCAUGUUCCUGAUUUCUUGGUCCAAAUCGUCCUCCUGAGGCGUUGGACUGGUGGCCUUCCUCUUCUGGCUUCGGGCUUCCCGAAGAGAGAGAGUCUCCUGGUUCGUGUCCAGCGGCUGCAGAGCCGCAGCCCCUGUUGCUGAAGCUUUCUUUGGCGGCAUGACAAAGGUCGAUGCUUGCCGAAGGUGUUCGAAACUCAAAAAGUGGAAGUGAGUUCACCGGAGGUGGGCACUAAUGUUGGGGACUUGUUCUCAAAUGCUAAGAGUUAAGAACAAGGAAACAUAAAAAUGUUAAAUGCUAAAGUCCUUAGUCCUUCGAAGCAUUAUUUCCCUUAGGAUAUAAUGAAUUUCGGACGAAGGUUAUGAAGGACAUACCUUCAUAAGCACAACGAAUGAUGAAGAAGAAUUCAUAUAAAUUAUGAGAUAUAACAUAAACAUUUAAACAUUAUUAUUAACUCAUUUCUAUUGACUUGUCAGGGAAAAAUAGAAAUGAUAAUAAAUUACAAAUAUACCUUCGGCUUGAGAGAAGGUAAAGGUACAAGCGUGAGGCAAAAGCAAAUGCCAAGUCAGCGUGAAUAGUACGGGAACACUGUUCAUCUAUUUAUAGGCACGGGACGCAGCCCAUGCAAAAUUACAUCCAGGCCCUUUGCUUUUGACAAUAACUCUAUAGUAAUCUAUCUGGGUCUAGAUAGUCUUUUCCUCUUUAAGUCGGUUUCCUCUUUUCUGCCAUCAUGCCGAAGCUCCCUUGCGCACAACUUCUGCUCUGCUCCAUCCUUCGUAUUGUUUCCGUGCUUCUUCAUACCAUGGGCUCUUGUUCGAAGAUCCCUGUCCACACAUUAUACUCCAGAGGCAUUGCUAAAUCAUGUUUUUGAGGACCUUCGGAAGCCGAAGGCCCCCAACAGUUAUUUUGCUCUAAGAUCGGCAGUAAUGAAGUAUAAAUCAUCGUUGUGGUGUGCUACUCGGUUAAUUGAGCAUUAACACACACAAACAUGACGAGGAUGGUAUAAUCUCCAAAAAUGUGUACUUUGUUAGGUGGGACCCUAUAGCCUUGCAGAAUGUGCUAUGUUAGGCAUGCCUGGAAACGUGUGACGCAUACGUUUUGUGAACCUGUUCAUAUUAUAUGUGCUUUUAUAUUAUCGUAUUUUAUUAAAAUACUAAUAUUUAUUACUAGUAAGAUAUAACAUUCUAUCUAGCUUAAAAACUAACCAUAAAUAUUCCAUAAUAACUAGAUUUACCAAACUAAUAUACUAAAUAUACAUAAUAAAUACAAAAUUAACAAGACAAUAAUCAAUAUUUAUGAGCUUAAUAUAUUUAGACAUUAUGGUUGGUCGACGAUAAUCAUGCUAACUUUCCGUAAUUGCUUGAUUGUAAAUAUGCUUAGAAUAAUGCCUCUUUGUUCUACAUGGCAAAUAGGGACCAUUAUGGUGUAACACCCUGGGAUCCACAAACACCCUGAAAUGCUACUAAACUACACAACUAACCUUCAUAUAUUAAAUUUCGACAGCAUCUCCUUUGAAAAUUUGUAUAAACGUGGAAGCAACAGAGUAUAAACAGAUAUGAUGAUAAGGAAACAUAAUAGACAUUAAUAAUCUGCUAGAAAUGGGAAGAUAACCAUAACGACAUAAACUGAAUUAACUAGUGUGCACGGCAUGUUAAAAACAAACAUCGUUGACAAGAAGUUUCUAAUUAAAUCAUGGCUGUGCCUAGGCAGCGUUAUUAUAUGAGUGAAGGUGGACGUGAUGCUACUUCCCUCAUUCCCAACAUGAAUCAAGUACCUGUAUUGAGUAAUGCAAGAGUGAGAUGAAAACAUCUCAGCAAGUAAAUUGUUUUGACGAGAUAUUUAAACCAAAAAAAUUUGAUUUAAUCAACAUUUUAAAGGGAUCACAAUUGAGAUCAGACAUACUUGUAGAUAUAAAACUCAAUAGUCCCAAAAUAACCAAUGCCAUCUCAUUUCCACAAACAACCACAAUAGGUUGUAUAACACUUCCCUGCGUCAUCAAUACCUGCAAAUAUCACUUCAAUGUAUGCAUAGGAAUGCAAUGUUUAAGUCCUCUGCAUUCAUACUUCUUAGAGUAUAAAACCACACCAUCUGCAAAUAUCACUUCAAUGAAUGCAUAUGAAUGCAAUGCAUAUGUCCUCUGCCUUCAUACCUCUAAGGGUAUGAAGACGCAUCGUACCCCUCCUCGGGCAACGUACGAUGCUAAGUUGUACCGGUACGGUCGGACCAUAGGUCACGACAAAACUUCAGAUGCAAGUGAAUCAUGACAUGUAUAUGGCAUGCUGCAUUUAUCAAUAUACUACACUUCCUUCACAUACAAUACAAACCUCAAAUAAUACUUCGUUUACCUUCAGAUACAAUACAAACCUCAAAUAAUACUUCAUUCACCUUCAGGGGUGUUUAUUAAUCUCGUGGGUCAUACUCAAAUCAUCAUCAUCAUCAAUGAUGUUUAAGCAUCAGUAUAAUACAAUCAAGUAAAGCAUCACCAUAGAGUUCAAUUAUGAAAGAAUUCGAUGAUUCUGAAUAUUAGAGUGUAUGCGAUGAAACAACAAAGUCAAAACGGUAGCAACCACCGCUACAUUCACUUGCCUUCAUCGAAGAAGAAAAAGGUACUAGGCAUGAUUCGGAGUGUAGACACCUGCUGUGGGGCUUAAAACUUAGUACAAAUAUUCCACAAACAUUUGCCAACAACUAACAAAUCGCUCCUACACUUGUAACCAAGACCCGGUGGAAUGACUCCCACCCUGAACCACAUGUCAAACAGCAGGAGUGCUGUUUGUUAAUUUUGUAUCUUUAAAAUUAUAACAGUGGUGAUAUCAAACAAAUACUCUAGAAGUUUCUACACAAAAUACUCUACAACUUCGGUAUUCAAUGGAUAAUUAAAUUUUGCCAUCUAUAAGUUCUAAAACAUCUGACAAGAUAACUGACAGAAUCUGUUUCAGACAGCAGCAUAGUUAACUUCAAAAUUCGAUAUCUCCCAAACUCCUCAACCAAAAUUUAUGAAAUUAUGUUGACAGUAAGAACUUUUAUCCCUCUACAAAAGUCUCCAUAGUUGGAAGAGCCAAUUCGGCCAUUUACUAGAUGAAACCUACCAUUUAACAGACCCGCUCAUUUUUGUCAGGCAAACAAGAACCCUUAUAUAUCAAAGAGUAGUGGAUUUGAAUUUGUCUAAUAUGAAGUUUAUGGGCUUGGAUCAUUUAAAGUAUUUUAUAAUUCUGAAAGACAAGAUUAAACUAACUAUGUAUGAUCCUUUAGCACCGUACAGAUGGUCGAUGGGACAGUUACAUGGUUUAUAUAGAUGGACAUAUCUAUAUUCCUUCAGUGGUUGAGAAAAAGGUAAAGGUGUGUCACACUCACGCGUGCACUGCCUCCGCCGAGACGAGGCAUGGCGUUGCAAGGUGAGGCAUGGCAUGGUGCAGCACGAUCGUAUACAUGGUCGUGGCACAGUGUAGCACUGUUGUGGAUAGAUAGAUAAACUUUUGUUGUAGUUAGAGUGCAUGAGUUUUUGAAUGCAACACAAGAAUUUUCACAAUUUAACUUAAUUAAGAAGUUAUAUCUUGAUGACACAGAGUUACCUGACCAUUGAUCUCACAUGCCCUUUUAGCUCUCUCGUUCUCUAGACUCACCCUGACUAUUUAGGUCUCCUGACUCGCCAAUAUAAACACCAUCCUAUCAUUUGCUCUCGAAUACUUCUGUGUCACAACUCAACUGUCAGAUGAGUACUCCAUUACAGCACUGAGCAGGCCUCCGAAAUGAAUAUCUACUCAGAUGAAGGACGACAAUCGUGUUCUAGGGAAAUAUCAGCGACACAACUCCUUACUUCCUCCGCUUCUUCCUAGUGUUUUUUGUUGUGAUUGAGUCGACAUAGCAACAACACUGCACUAUUACAACCAGUACGACUAUAUCAACUAGCAAUGUCUUCCUUAUAUGUUACUAUUUAUUUUGCUCAUAUUCAUUAUGUUUAAAUCACAUAGGCGCCUUUAUGUUGGCAUCAAAAAAUCAGUAUCAACUUUAUAGAUUAAAAUGAAACUAAAAGUACCUAAAUUUCUAUCGGUGGGGAUCGAGUGAUUCUUUAAACCGAUUAUUACACAAGUUAACCACACUAAAAUUAACAAUGGUGAAUCGUGCCAUGAUUUUUUUCUAGUGGAAAAUAGCCAAACCAAGCAACACAUAUGUGGCUAUCGUUACACAUGUGUAAAGGUAUUGCAUCACACCAUUGUCACCCAUGUAUUUGGACAAUACCGAGAGGAAAAACCACUUAUUUAUUGUAUUAUAUCAAGUUUGUCUUGCUUACGUAUAAAUUAUAACCCAACAAAGUAAUCACUAAAUGUCAAAACCAACUAGAUACCAUGUCAUCUCUACCUUAUCUUACUAAUAUUCUUUUUGCAAAAUCCAAAAUUAAUCUUGCACAAGCACAAGGACUGAGAUGUGUAUAAAUAUCUCUUAAAUUAGUAGCUAAUAUAUCGCACAUAUUAUUGAGACCAACUAGCAACAUAGAAAGCACAAUAGUGUACCAACAAUGGCAGCCAAAAUAUUUUGCCUCCUUAUGCUCCUUGGUCUUUCUGCAAGUGCUGCUACGGCGACCAUUUUCCCGCAAUGCUCGCAAGCUCCUAUAGCUUCCCUUCUUCCCCCGUACCUCUCACCAGCGGUGUCUUCGGUAUGUGAAAACCCAAUUCUUCAACCCUACAGGAUCCAACAGGCAAUCACAGCUGGCAUCUUACCUUUAUCACCCUUGUUCCUCCAACAAUCAUCAGCCCUAUUACAUCAGUUACCUUUGGUGCAUUUAUUGGCACAAAACAUCAGGGCACAACAACUACAACAACUUGUGCUAGCAAACCUUGCUGCCUACUCUCAGCAACAGCAGUUUCUUCCAUUCAACCAACUAGCUGCAUUGAACUCUGCUUCUUAUUUGCAACAACAACAACUACCAUUCAGCCAGCUACCUGCUGCCUACCCCCAGCAAUUUCUUCCAUUCAACCAACUGGCAGCAUUGAACUCUCCUGCUUAUUUACAGCAGCAACAACUACUACCAUUCAGCCAGCUAGCUGGUGUGAGCCCUGCUACCUUCUUGAUACAACCACAGUUGUUGCCGUUCUACCAGCACGCUGCGCCUAACGCUGGCACCCUCUUACAACUGCAACAAUUGCUGCCAUUCAACCAACUUGCUUUGACAAACCCAGCAGCGUUCUACCAACAACCCAUCAUUGGUGGUGCCCUCUUUUAGAUUUCUUAUGAGUUAUAGUUCAAUAAUAAAGUUUUUUGUCUGAUGUUUGUGGCUUCCCAGAAAUAAGAAAGUACAUUUCUAGAUUCUUAUGUGCUUCUAGUCUCCAAAUGUGGUUGAUAGUUAUUUUGCUCUAAGAUCGACAGUAAUGAAGUAUAAAUCAUCGUUGUGGUGUGCUACUCGGUUAAUUGAGCAUUAACACACACAAACAUGACGAGGAUGGUAUAAUCUCCAAAAAUAUGUACUUUGUUAGGUGGGACCCUAUAGCCUUGCAUAAUGUGCUAUGUUAGGCAUGCCUGGAAACGUGUGACGCAUAUGUUUUGUGAACCUGUUGAUAUUAUAUGUGCUUUUAUAUUACCAUAUUUUAUUAAAAUACUAAUAUUUAUUACUAGUAAGAUAUAACAUUCUAUCUAGCUUAAAAACUAACCAUAAAUAUUCCAUAAUAACUAGAUUUACCAAACUAAUAUACUAAAUAUACAUAAUAAAUACAAAAUUAACAAGACAAUAAUCAAUAUUUAUGAGCUUAAUAUAUUUAGACAUUAUGGUUGGUCGACCAUAAUCAUGCUAACUUUUCGUACUUGCUUGAUUGUAAAUAUGCUUAGAAUAAUGCCUCUUUGUUCUACAUGGCAAAUAGGGACCAUUAUGGUGUAACACCCUGGGAACCACAAACACCCCGAAAUGCUACUAAACUACACAACUAACCUUCAUAUAUAAAAUUUCGACAGCAUCUCCUUUGAAAAUUUGCAUAAACGUGGAAGCAACAGAGUAUAAACAGAUAUCAUGAUAAGGAAACAUACUAGACAUUAAUAAUCUGCUAGAAAUGGGAAGAUAACCAUAACGACAUAAACUGAAUUAACUAGUGUGCACAACUUGUUUAAAACAAACAUCAUUGACAAGAAGUUUCUAAUUAAAUCAUGGCUGUGCCUGGGUAGCGUUAUUAUGAGAGUGAAGGUGGACGUGAUGCUACUUCCCUCAUUCCCAACAUGAAUCAAGUACCUGCAUUGAGUAAUGCAAGAGUGAGAUGAAAACAUCUCAGCAAGUAAAUUGUUUUGACGAGAUAUUUAAAGCAAAAAAAUUUGAUUUACUCAACAUUUUAAAGGGAUCACAAUUGAGAUCAGAAAUACUUGUAGAUAUAGAACUCAAUAGUCCCAAAAUAACCAGUGCCAUCUCAUUUCCUCAAACAACCACAAUAGGUUGUAUAACACUUCCCUGCGUCAUCAAUACCUGCAAAUAUCACUUCAAUGUAUGCAUAGGAAUGCAAUGUUUAAGUCCUCUGCAUUCAUACUUCUUAGAGUAUAAAACCACACCAUCUGCAAAUAUCACUUCAAUGAAUGCAUAUGAAUGCAAUGCAUAUGUCCUCUGCCUUCAUACCUCUAAGGGUAUGAAGCCGAAUCGUACCCCUCCUCGGGCAACGUACGAUGCUAAGUUGUACCGUUACGGUCGGACCAUAGGUCACGACAAAACUUCAUAUGCAAGUGAAUCAUGACAUGUAUAUGGCUUGCUGCAUUUAUCAAUAUACUUCACUUCCUUCAUAUACAAUACAAACCUCAAAUAAUACUUCGUUUACCUUCAGAUACAAUACAAACCUCAAAUAAUACUUCAUUCACCUUCAGGGGUGUUUAUUAAUCUCGUGGGUCAUACUCGAAUCAUCAUCAUCAUCAAUGAUGAUUAAGCAUCAGUAUAAUACAAUCAAGUAAAGCAUCACCAUAGAGUUCAAUUAUGAAAGAAUUCGAUGAUUCUGAAUAUUAGAGUGUAUGCGAUGAAACAACAACGUCAAAACGGUAGCAACCACCGCUACAUUCACUUGCCUUCAUCGAAGAAGAAAAACAUACUAGGCAUGAUUCAGAGUGUAGACACCUGCUGUGGGGCUUAAAACUUAGUACAAAUAUUCCACAAACAUUUGCCAACAAUUAACAAAUCGCUCCUACACUUGAAACCAAGACCCGGUGGAAUGACUCCCACCCUGAACCACAUGCCAAACAAUAGUAGUGUUGUUUGUUAAUUUUGUAUCUUUAAAAUUAUAACAGUGGUGAUAUCAAACAAAUACUCCAGAAGUUUCUACACAAAAUACUCUACAACUUUGGUAUUCAAUGGAUAAUUAAAUUUUGCCAUCUAUAAGUUCUAAAACAUCUGAUAAGAUAACUGACUGAAUUUGUUUCAGACAACAGCAUAGUUAACUUCAAAAUUCGAUAUCUCCCAAACUCCUCAACCAAAAAUUAUGAAAUUAUUCUGACAGUAAGAACUUUUUUCCCUCUACAAAAGUAUCUAUAGUUGGAAGAGCCAAUUCGGCCAUUUACUAGAUGAAACCUACCAGUUAACAGACCCGCUCAUUUUUGUCAGGCAAACAAGAACCCUUAUAUAUCAAAGAGUAGUGGAUUUGAAUUUGUCUAAUAUGAAGUUUAUGGGCUUGGAUCAUUUAAAGUAUUUUAUAAUUCUGAAAGACAAGAUUAAACUAACUAUGUAUGAUCCUUUAGCACUGUACAGAUGGUCGAUGGGACAGUUACAUGGUUUAUAUAGAUGGACCUAUCUAUAUUCCUUCAGUGGUUGAGAAAAAGGUAAAGGUGUGUCACACUCACGUGUGCGCCGCCUCUACCGAGAUGAGGCAUGGCGUUGCAAGGUGAGGCAUGGCAUGGUGCAGCACGAUCGUAUACAUGGUCGUGGCACAGUGUAGCACUGUUGUGGAUAGAUAGAUAAACUUUUGUUGUAGUUAGAGUGCAUGAGUUUUUGAAUGCAACACAAGAAUUUUCACAAUUUAACUUAAUUAAGAAGUUAUAUCUUGAUGACACAGAGUUACCUGACCAUUGAUCUCACAUGCCCUUUUAGCUCUCUCGUUCUCUAGACUCACCCUGACUAUUUAGGUCUCCUGACUCGCCAAUAUAAACACCAUCCUAUCAUUUGCUCUCGAAUACUUCUGUGUCACAACUCAACUGUCAGAUGAGUACUCCAUUACAGCACUGAGCAGGCCUCCGAAAUGAAUAUCUACUCAGAUGAAGGACGACAAUCGUGUUCUAGGGAAAUAUCGGUGACACAACUCCUUACUUCCUCCGCUUCUUCCUAGUGUUUUUUGUUGUGAUUGAGUCGACACAGCAACAACACUGCACUAUUACAACCAGUACGACUAUAUUAACUAGCAAUGUCUUCCUUAUAUGUUACUAUUUAUUUUGCUCAUAUUCAUUAUGUUUAAAUCACAUAGGCACCUUUUUGUUGGCAUCAAAAAAUUAGUAUCAACUUUCUAGAUUAAAGUGAAACUAAAAGUACCUAAAUUUCUAUCGGUGGGGAUCGAGUGAUUCUUUAAACCAAUUAUUACGCAAGUUAACCACACUAAAAUUAACAUUGGUGAACCGUGCCAUGAUUUUUUCUAAUGGAAAAUAGCCAAACCAAGCAACACAUAUGUGGCUAUCGUUACACAUGUGUAAAGGUAUUGCAUCACACCAUUGUCACCCAUGUAUUUGGACAAUACCGAGAGGAAAAACCACUUAUUUAUUGUAUUUUAUCAAGUUUGUCUUGCUUACGUAUAAAUUAUAACCCAACAAAGUAAUCACUAAAUGUCAAAACCAACUAGAUACCAUGUCAUCUCUACCUUAUCUUACUAAUAUUCUUUUUGCAAAAUCCAAAAUUAAUCUUGCACAAGCACAAGGACUGAGAUGUGUAUAAAUAUCUCUUAAAUUAGUAGCUAAUAUAUCACACAUAUUAUUGAGACCAACUAGCAACAUAGAAAGCACAAUAGUGUACCAACAAUGGCAGCUAAAAUAUUUUGCCUCCUUAUGCUCCUUGGUCUUUCUGCAAGUGCUGCUACGGCGACCAUUUUCCCACAAUGCUCACAAGCUCCUAUAGCUUCCCUUCUUCCCCCGUACCUCUCACCAACGGUGUCUUCGGUAUGUGAAAACCCAAUUCUUCAACCCUACAGGAUCCAACAGGCAAUCGCAGCUGGCAUCUUACCUUUAUCACCCUUGUUCCUCCAACAAUCAUCAGCCCUAUUACAGCAGUUACCUUUGGUGCAUUUAUUGGCACAAAACAUCAGGGCACAACAACUACAACAACUUGUGCUAGCAAACCUUGCUGCCUACUCUCAGCAACAGCAGUUUCUUCCAUUCAACCAACUAGCUGCAUUGAACUCUGCUUCUUAUUUGCAACAACAACAACUACCAUUCAGCCAGCUAUCUGCUGCCUACCCCCAGCAAUUUCUUCCAUUCAACCAACUGACAGCAUUGAACUCUCCUGCUUAUUUACAGCAGCAACAACUACUACCAUUCAGCCAGCUAGCUGGUGUGAGCCCUGCUACCUUCUUGACACAACCACAGUUGUUGCCGUUCUACCAGCACGCUGCGCCUAACGCUGGCACCCUCUUACAACUGCAACAAUUGCUGCCAUUCAACCAACUUGCUUUGACAAACCCAGCAGCAUUCUACCAACAACCCAUCAUUGGUGGUGCCCUCUUUUAGAUUUCUUAUGAGUUAUAGUUCAAUAAUAAAGUUUUUUGUCUGAUGUUUGUGGCUUCCCAGAAAUAAGAAAGUACAUUUCUAGAUUCUUAUGUGCUUCUAGUCUCCAAAUGUGGUUGAUAGUUAUUUUGCUCUAAGAUCAACAGUAAUGAAGUAUAAAUCAUCGUUGUGGUGUGCUACUCGGUUAAUUGAGCAUUAACACACACAAACAUGACGAGGAUGGUAUAAUCUCCAAAAAUGUGUACUUUGUUAGGUGGGACCCUAUAGCCUUGAUUAAUGUGCUAUGUUAGGCAUGCCUGGAAACGUGUGACGCAUAUGUUUUGUGAACCUGUUGAUAUUAUAUGUGCUUUUAUAUUACCAUAUUUUAUUAAAAUACUAAUAUUUAUUACUAGUAAGAUAUAACAUUCUAUCUAGCUUAAAAACUAACCAUAAAUAUUCCAUAAUAACUAGAUUUACCAAACUAAUAUACUAAAUAUACAUAAUAAAUACAAAAUUAACAAGACAAUAAUCAAUAUUUAUGAGCUUAAUAUAUUUAGACAUUAUGGUUGGUCGACGAUAAUCAUGCUAACUUUUCGUAAUUGCUUGAUUGUAAAUAUGCUUAGAAUAAUGCCUCUUUGUUCUACAUGGCAAAUAGGGACCAUUAUGGUGUAACACCCUGGGAACCACAAACACCCCGAAAUGCUACUAAACUACACAACUAACCUUCAUAUAUAAAAUUUCGACAGCAUCUCCUUUGAAAAUUUGCAUAGACGUGGAAGCAACAGAGUAUAAACAGAUAUCAUGAUAAGAAAACAUACUAGACAUUAAUAAUCUGCUAGAAAUGGGAAGAUAACCAUAACGACAUAAACUGAAUUAACUAGUGUGCACAACUUGUUAAAAACAAACAUCGUUGACAAGAAGUUUCUAAUUAAAUCAUGGUUGUGCCUGGGCAGCGUUAUUAUGAGAGUGAAGGUGGACGUGAUGCUACUUCCCUCAUUCCCAACAUGAAUCAAGUACCUGCAUUGAGCAAUGCAAGAGUGAGAUGAAAACAUCUCAGCAAGUAAAUUGUUUUGACGAGAUAUUUAAACCAAAAAAAUUUGAUUUACUCAACAUUUUAAAGGGAUCACAAUUGAGAUCAGAAAUACUUGUAGAUAUAGAACUCAAUAGUCCCAAAAUAACCAGUGCCAUCUCAUUUCCUCAAACAACCACAAUAGGUUGUAUAACACUUCCCUGCGUCAUCAAUACCUGCAAAUAUCACUUCAAUGUAUGCAUAGGAAUGCAAUGUUUAAGUCCUCUGCAUUCAUACUUCUUAGAGUAUAAAACCACACCAUCUGCAAAUAUCACUUCAAUGAAUGCAUAUGAAUGCAAUGCAUAUGUCCUCUGCCUUCAUACCUCUAAGGGUAUGAAGCCGAAUCGUACCCCUCCUCGGGCAACGUACGAUGCUAAGUUGUACCGGUACGGUCGGACCAUAGGUCACGACAAAACUUCAUAUGCAAGUGAAUCAUGACAUGUAUAUGGCUUGCUGCAUUUAUCAAUAUACUUCACUUCCUUCAUAUACAAUACAAACCUCAAAUAAUACUUCGUUUACCUUCAGAUACAAUACAAACCUCAAAUAAUACUUCAUUCACCUUCAGGGGUGUUUAUUAAUCUCGUGGGUCAUACUCGAAUCAUCAUCAUCAUCAAUGAUGAUUAAGCAUCAGUAUAAUACAAUCAAGUAAAGCAUCACCAUAGAGUUCAAUUAUGAAAGAAUUCGAUGAUUCUGAAUAUUAGAGUGUAUGCGAUGAAACAACAACGUCAAAACGGUAGCAACCACCGCUACAUUCAUUUGCCUUCAUCGAAGAAGAAAAAUGUACUAGGCAUGAUUCAGAGUGUAGACACCUGCUGUGGGGCUUAAAACUUAGUACAAAUAUUCCACAAACAUUUGCCAACAAUUAACAAAUCGCUCCUACACUUGAAACCAAGACCCGGUGGAAUGACUCCCACCCUGAACCACAUGCCAAACAAUAGUAGUGCUGUUUGUUAAUUUUGUAUCUUUAAAAUUAUAACAGUGGUGAUAUCAAACAAAUACUCUAGAAGUUUCUACACAAAAUACUCUACAACUUCGGUAUUCAAUGGAUAAUUAAAUUUUGCCAUCUAUAAGUUCUAAAACAUCUGAUAAGAUAACUGACUGAAUUUGUUUCAGACAGCAGCAUAGUUAACUUCAAAAUUCGAUAUCUCCCAAACUCCUCAACCAAAAAUUAUGAAAUUAUGCUGACAGUAAGAACUUUUUGUCCCUCUACAAAAGUAUCUAUAGUUGGAAGAGCCAAUUCGGCCAUUUACUAGAUGAAACCUACCAGUUAACAGACCCGCUCAUUUUUGUCAGGCAAACAAGAACCCUUAUAUAUCAAAGAGUAGUGGAUUUGAAUUUGUCUAAUAUGAAGUUUAUGGGCUUGGAUCAUUUAAAGUAUUUUAUAAUUCUGAAAGACAAGAUUAAACUAACUAUGUAUGAUCCUUUAGCACCGUACAGAUGGUCGAUGGGACAGUUACAUGGUUUAUAUAGAUGGACCUAUCUAUAUUCCUUCAGUGGUUGAGAAAAAGGUAAAGGUGUGUCACACUCACGUGUGCGCCGCCUCUGCCGAGAUGAGGCAUGGCGUUGCAAGGUGAGGCAUGGCAUGGUGCAGCACGAUCGCAGUCAUGGUCGUGGCACAGUGUAGCACUGUUGUGGAUAGAUAGAUAAACUAUUGUUGUAGUUAGAGUGCAUGAGUUUUUGAAUGCAACACUAGGAUUUUCACAAUUUAACUUAAUUAAGAAGUUAUAUCUUGAUGACACAGAGUUACCUGACCAUUGAUCUCACAUGCCCUUUUAGCUCUCUUGUUCUCUAGACUCACCCUGACUAUUGAGGUCUCUUGACUCGCCAAUAUAAACACCAUCCUAUCAUUUGCUCUCGAAUACUUUUGUGUCACAACUCAACUGUCAGAUGAGUACUCCAUUACAGCACUGAGCAGGCCUCCGAAAUGAAUAUCUACUCAGAUGAAGGACGACAAUCGUGUUCUAGGGAAAUAUCAGUGACACAACUCCUUACUUCCUCUGCUUCUUCCUAGUGUUUUUUGUUGUGAUUGAGUCGACACAGCAACAACACUGCACUAUUACAACCAGUACGACUAUAUUAACUAGCAAUGUCUUCCUUAUAUGUUACUAUUUAUUUUGCUCAUAUUCAUUAUGUUUAAAUCACAUAGGCACCUUUUUGUUGGCAUCAAAAAAUUAGUAUCAACUUUCUAGAUUAAAGUGAAACUAAAAGUACCUAAAUUUCUAUCGGUGGGGAUCGAGUGAUUCUUUAAACCGAUUAUUACACAAGUGAACCACACUAAAAUUAACAUUGGUGAAUCGUGCCAUGAUUUUUUCUAGUGGAAAAUAGCCAAACCAAGCAACACAUAUGUGGCUAUCGUUACACAUGUGUAAAGGUAUUGCAUCACACCAUUGUCACCCAUGUAUUUGGACAAUACCGAGAGGAAAAACCACUUAUUUAUUGUAUUUUAUCAAGUUUGUCUUGCUUACGUAUAAAUUAUAACCCAACAAAGUAAUCACUAAAUGUCAAAACCAACUAGAUACCAUGUCAUCUCUACCUUAUCUUACUAAUAUUCUUUUUGCAAAAUCCAAAAUUAAUCUUGCACAAGCACAAGGACUGAGAUGUGUAUAAAUAUCUCUUAAAUUAGUAGCUAAUAUAUCACACAUAUUAUUGAGACCAACUAGCAACAUAGAAAGCACAAUAGUGUACCAACAAUGGCAGCCAAAAUAUUUUGCCUCCUUAUGCUCCUUGGUCUUUCUGCAAGUGCUGCUACGGCGACCAUUUUCCCACAAUGCUCACAAGCUCCUAUAGCUUCCCUUCUUCCCCCGUACCUCUCACCAGCGGUGUCUUCGGUAUGUGAAAACCCAAUUCUUCAACCCUAUAGGAUCCAACAGGCAAUCGCAGCUGGCAUCUUACCUUUAUCACCCUUGUUCCUCCAACAAUCAUCAGCCCUAUUACAGCAGUUACCUUUGGUGCAUUUAUUGGCACAAAACAUCAGGGCACAACAACUACAACAACUUGUGCUAGCAAACCUUGCUGCCUACUCUCAGCAACAACAGUUUCUUCCAUUCAACCAACUAGCUGCAUUGAACUCUGCUUCUUAUUUGCAACAACAACAACUACCAUUCAGCCAGCUAUCUGCUGCCUACCCCCAGCAAUUUCUUCCAUUCAACCAACUGACAGCUUUGAACUCUCCUGCUUAUUUACAGCAGCAACAACUACUACCAUUCAGCCAGCUAGCUGGUGUGAGCCCUGCUACCUUCUUGACACAACCACAAUUGUUGCCGUUCUACCAGCACGCUGCGCCUAACGCUGGCACCCUCUUACAACUGCAACAAUUGCUGCCAUUCAACCAACUUGCUUUGACAAACCCAACAGCAUUCUACCAACAACCCAUCAUUGGUGGUGCCCUCUUUUAGAUUUCUUAUGAGUUAUAGUUCAAUAAUAAAGUUUUUUGUCUGAUGUUUGUGGCUUCCCAGAAAUAAGAAAGUACAUUUCUAGAUUCUUAUGUGCUUCUAGUCUCCAAAUGUGGUUGAUAGUUAUUUUGCUCUAAGAUUAGCAGUAAUGAAGUAUAAAUCAUCGUUGUGGUGUGCUACUCGGUUAAUUGAGCAUUAACACACACAAACAUGACGAGGAUGGUAUAAUCUCCAAAAAUGUGUACUUUGUUAGGUGGGACCCUAUAGCCUUGCAGAAUGUGCUACGUUAGGCAUGCCAAUGGAAACGUGUGACACAUACGUUUUGUGAAUCUGUUGAUAUUAUAUGUGCUUUUAUAUUACCAUAUUUUAUUAAAAUACUAAUAUUUAUUACUAGUAAGAUAUAACAUUCUAUCUAGCUUAAAAACUAACCAUAAAUAUUCCAUAAUAACUAGAUUUACCAAACUAAUAUACUAAAUAUACAUAAUAAAUAUAAAAUUAACAAGACAAUAAUUAAUAUUUAUGAGCUUAAUUUAUUUAGACAUUAUGGUUGGUCGACGAUAAUCAUGCUAACUUUCCGUAAUUGCUUGAUUGUAAAUAUGCUUAGAAUAAUGCCUCUUUGUUCUACAUGGCAAAUAGGGACCAUUAUGGUGUAACACCCCGGGAUCCACAAACACCCCGAAAUGCUACUAAACUACACAACUAACCUUCAUAUAUAAAAUUUCGACAGCAUCUCCUUUGAAAAUUUGCAUAAACGUGGAAGCAACAGAGUAUAAACAGAUAUCAUGAUAAGGAAACAUACUAGACAUUAAUAAUCUGCUAGAAAUGGGAAGAUAACCAUAACGACAUAAACUGAAUUAACUAGUGUGCACAACUUGUUAAAAACAAACAUCGUUGACAAGAAGUUUCUAAUUAAAUCAUGGUUGUGCCUGGGCAGCGUUAUUAUGAGAGUGAAGGUGGACGUGAUGCUACUUCCCUCAUUCCCAACAUGAAUCAAGUACCUGCAUUGAGUAAUGCAAGAGUGAGAUGAAAACAUCUCAGCAAGUAAAUUGUUUUGACGAGAUAUUUAAACCAAAAAAAUUGAUUUAAUCAACAUUUUAAAGGGAUCACAAUUGAGAUCAGAAAUACUUGUAGAUAUAGAACUCAAUAGUCCCAAAAUAACCAAUGCCAUCUCAUUUCCUCAAACAACCACAAUAGGUUGUAUAACACUUCCCUGCGUCAUCAAUACCUGCAAAUAUCACUUCAAUGUAUGCAUAGGAAUGCAAUGUUUAAGUCCUCUGCAUUCAUACUUCUUAGAGUAUAAAACCACACCAUCUGCAAAUAUCACUUCAAUGAAUGCAUAUGAAUGCAAUGCAUAUGUCCUCUGCCUUCAUACCUCUAAGGGUAUGAAGCCGCAUCGUACCCCUCCUCGGGCAACGUACGAUGCUAAGUUGUACCGGUACGGUCGGACCAUAGGUCACGACAAAACUUCAGAUGCAAGUGAAUCAUGACAUGUAUAUGGCAUGCUGCAUUUAUCAAUAUACUUCACUUCCUUCAUAUACAAUACAAACCUAAAAUAAUACUUCGUUUACCUUCAGAUACAAUACAAACCUCAAAUAAUACUUCAUUCACCUUCAGGGGUGUUUAUUAAUCUCGUGGGUCAUACUCAAAUCAUCAUCAUCAUCAAUGAUGUUUAAGCAUCAGUAUAAUACAAUCAAGUAAAGCAUCACCAUAGAGUUCAAUUAUGAAAGAAUUCGAUGAUUCUGAAUAUUAGAGUGUAUGCGAUGAAACAACAAAGUCAAAACGGUAGCAACCACCUCUACAUUCACUUGCCUUCAUCGAAGAAGAAAAAGGUACUAGGCAUGAUUCGGAGUGUAGACACCUGCUGUGGGGCUUAAAACUUAGUACAAAUAUUCCAUAAACAUUUGCCAACAAUUAACAAAUCGCUCCUACACUUGAAACCAAGACCCGGUGGAAUGACUCCCACCCUGAACCACAUGCCAAACAACAAUAGUGUUGUUUGUUAAUUUCUAUCUUUAAAAUUAUAACAGUGGUGAUAUCAAACAAAUACUCUAUACGUUUCUACACAAAAUACUCUACAACUUCGGUAUUCAAUGGAUAAUUAAAUUUUGCCAUCUAUAAGUUCUAAAACAUCUGACAAGAUAACUGACUGAAUCUGUUUCAGACAACAGCAUAGUUAACUUCAAAAUUCGAUAUCUCCCUAACUCCUCAACAAAAAAUUAUGAAAUUAUGCUGACAGUAAGAACUUUUAUCCCUCUACAAAAGUCUCCAUAGUUGAAAGAGCCAAUUCGGCCAUUUACUAGAUGAAACCUACCAGUUAACGGACCCGCUCAUUUUUGUCAAGCAAACAAGAACCCUUAUAUAUCAAAGAGUAGUGGAUUUGAAUUUGUCUAAUAUGAAGUUUACGGGCUUGGCUCAUUUAAAGUAUUUAAUAAUUCUGAAAGACAAGAUUAAACUAACUAUGUAUGAUCCUUUAGCACCGUACAGAUGGUCGAUGGGACAGUUACAUGGUUUAUAUAGAUGGACCUAUCUAUAUUCCUUCAGUGGUUGAGAAAAAAGUAAAGGUGUGUCACACUCACGUGUGCGCCGCCUCCGCCGAGACGAGGCAUGGCGUUGCAAGGUGAGGCAUGGCAUGGUGUAGCACGAUAGCAGUCAUGGUCGUGGCACAGUGUAGCACUGUUGUGGAUAGAUAGGUAAACUAUUGUUGUAGUUAGAGUGCAUGAGUUUUUGAAUGCAACACUAGAAUUUUCACAAUUUAACUUAAUUAAGAAGUUAUAUCUUGAUGACACAGAGUUACCUGACCAUUGAUCUCACAUGCCCUUUUAGCUCUCUCGUUCUCUAGACUCACCCUGACUAUUUAAGUCUCUUGACUCGCCAAUAUAAACACCAUCCUAUCAUUUGCUCUAGAAUACUUCUGUGUCACAACUCAACUGUCAGAUGAGUACUCCAUUACAGCACUUACGUACACGAGUUCUAUGAGAGCAGGCCUCCAAAAUGAAUAUCUACUUAGAUGAAGGACGACAAUCGUGUUCUAGGGAAAUAUCAGCGACACAACUCCUUACUUCCUUCGCUUCUUCCUAGUGUUUUUUGUUGUGAUUGAGUCGACACAGCAACAACACUGCACUAUUACAACCAGUACGACUAUAUCAACUAGCAAUGUCUUCCUUAUAUGUUACUAUUUAUUUUGCACAUAUUCAUUAUGUUUAAAUCACAUAGGCACCUUUCUAUUGGCAUCAAAAAAUUAGUAUCAACUUUCUAGAUUAAAAUGAAACUAAAAGUACAUAAAUUUCUAUCGGUGGGGAUCGAGUGAUUCUUUAAACCGAUUAUUACACAAGUUAACCACACUAAAAUUAACAUUGGUGAAUCGUGCCAUGAUUUUUUUUCUAGUGGAAAAUAGCCAAACCAAGCAACACAUAUGUGGCUAUCGUUACACAUGUGUAAAGGUAUUGCAUCACACUAUUGUCACCCAUGUAUUUGGACAAUACCGAGAGGAAAAACCACUUAUUUAUUGUAUUUUAUCAAGUUUGUCUUGCUUACGUAUAAAAUUAUAACCCAACAAAGUAAUCACUAAACGUCAAAACCAACUAGAUAUCAUGUCAUCUCUACCUUAUCUUACUAAUAUUCUUUUUGCAAAAUCCAAAAUUAAUCUUGCACAAGCACAAGGACUGAGAUGUGUAUAAAUAUCUCUUAAAUUAGUAGCUAAUAUAUCGCACAUAUUAUUUAGACCAACUAGCAACAUAGAAAGCACAAUAGUGUACCAACAAUGGCAGCCAAAAUAUUUUGCCUCCUUAUGCUCCUUGGUAUUUCUGCAAGUGCUGCUACGGCGACCAUUUUCCCGCAAUGCUCACAAGCUCCUAUAGCUUCCCUUCUUCCCCCGUACCUCUCACCAGCGGUGUCUUCGGUAUGUGAAAACCCAAUUCUUCAACCCUACAGGAUCCAACAGGCAAUCGCAGCUGGCAUCUUACCUUUAUCACCCUUGUUCCUCCAACAAUCAUCAGCCCUAUUACAGCAGUUACCUUUGGUGCAUUUAUUGGCACAAAACAUCAGGGCACAACAACUACAACAACUUGUGCUAGCAAACCUUGCUGCCUACUCUCAGCAACAGCAGUUUCUUCCAUUCAACCAACUAGCUGCAUUGAACUCUGCUUCUUAUUUGCAACAACAACAACUACCAUUCAGCCAGCUACCUGUUGCCUACCCCCAGCAAUUUCUUCCAUUCAACCAACUGGCAGCAUUGAACUCUCCUGCUUAUUUACAGCAGCAACAACUACUACCAUUCAGCCAGCUAGCUGGUGUGAGCCCUGCUACCUUCUUGACACAACCACAGUUGUUGCCGUUCUACCAGCACGCUGCGCCUAACGCUGGCACCCUCUUACAACUGCAACAAUUGCUGCCAUUCAACCAACUUGCUUUGACAAACCUAGCAGUGUUCUACCAACAACCCAUCAUUGGUGGUGCCCUCUUUUAGAUUUCUUAUGAGUUAUAGUUCAAUAAUAAAGUUUUUUGUCUGAUGUUUGUGGCUUCCCAGAAAUAAGAAAGUACAUUUCUAGAUUCUUAUGUGCUUCUAGUCUCCAAAUGUGGUUGAUAGUUAUUUUGCUCUAAGAUCAGCAGUACAACAACAACAACAACAACAACAACAACAACAACAAAGCCUUUUUGUCCCAAGCACGUUGGGGUAGGCUAGAGAUGAAACCCCGUAUGAAAACCUCAGAGCUCAACCCCCAAAGAACAGAAAAGGGAAACAAAGGCAAAGGAGAACCGAAAACAACGAAACGGGGAAACACAUAAAAGAGAUAAAACCCACAAGGACCAGCAAGAUCUAAAAUGGACACAAGAAAAGGUCAAACGAUUAAGGAGGAAAAGCGAAACUAUCAAUCAGGGUUCUGGCACGUGAAUUGCACACUUCCACCCCUUCCUAUCUGCGGCGAGCUCUUUGUCAAUAUUCCACUCCUUCAGGUCUCUCUUCACAGCCUCUGUCCACGUCAAAGUUGGUCGACCUCUACCUCUCUUCACAUUUUCGGGACGCCUAAUUAUUCCGAUAUGCACUGGUGCCUCUUCAGGUCUUCGUUGGAUAUGUCCAAACCAUCUCAAGCGAUGUUGCAUAAGCUUCUCCUCAAUUGGCGCCACUCCUACUCUCUCUCGUAUAUCAUCAUUCCGGACUCGAUCUCUCCUUGUGUGGCCACAUAUCCAGCGCAACAUACGCAUCUCUGCCACACUUAGUUGUUGGACAUGUCGUCUUUUAGUGGGCCAACAUUCUGCUCCAUACAACAUAGCCGGCCGGAUUGCUGUCCUGUAGAAUUUGCCUUUUAGUUUGCGUGGCACCCGGUGGUCGCAUAAGACACCCGCAGCUUGUCGCCACUUCAACCAUCCGGCUUUAAUUCUAUGACUGACAUCCUCAUCGAUGUCUCCCUCCUUUUGAAGCAUUGAUCCUAAGUAACGAAAAGUGUCUUUCUUGGGUACCACUUGCCCAUCAAGACUAACAUCGCCAUCCUCAUACCCCAUGGCACUGAAAUCACACUUCAUAUACUCUGUUUUAGACCUACUAAGCCUAAAACCUUUUGCUUCCAGCGUCUGCCUCCACAAUUCCAACUUUUGAGAAACACCACUCCUACUCUCCUCAAUAAGUACCACAUCAUCGGCAAAAAGCAUACACCACGGUAAAACUCCUUGUAUGUCCCUUGUGACCUCAUCUAUCACCAAAGCGAAAAGAUAAGGGCUCAAAGCCGACCCUUGAUGUAGUCCUAUGUUAAUUGGAAAGUCAUCGGUGUCUCCAUCACUUGUUCGGACACUUGUCACAACAUUAGUGUACAUAUCUUUAAUAAGAUUAAUGUACUUUGUUGCUACUUUGUGUUUUUCCAAGGCCCACCACAUUACACUCCUAGGUACUUUGUCAUAAGCCUUCUCCAAGUCUAUGAAGACCAUAUGCAGGUCUUUCUUUUGUUCUCUGAAUCUCUCCAUAAGUUGUCUUAGUAAGAAAAUGGCCUCCAUAGUUGAUCUCCCGGGCAUGAAACCAAACUGAUUUUGGGUCACGCUCGUCAUCUUUCGCAGGCGGUGUUCAAUGACUCUCUCCCAUAGCUUCAUUGUAUGGCUCAUGAGCUUAAUUCCACGGUAAUUAGUACAACUUUGAACAUCUCCUUUGUUCUUGAAGAUUGGUACUAAUGUACUCCGCCGCCACUCGUCGGGCAUUCUGUUUGCCCGAAAGAUGGUGUUGAAAAGCUUAGUCAGCCAUACUAUCGCUAUGUCUCCAAGACAUCUCCAUACCUCGAUAGGGAUACCAUCAGGGCCCAUCGCCUUUCCUACCUUCAUCCUUUUUAGCGCCUCCUUAACUUCAUAUUCUUGUAUCCUUCGUACAAAACCCCUGUUGUUGUCAUCGAAUGGUUCGUCCAAUUCUAUUGUAGCACUCUCAUUCCCUCCAUUGAACAAUUUGUUGAAGUACUCCUUCCAUCUGUUCUUGAUCUCUUCACUCUUCACUAAUAGUUGGUUUGCUUCGUCCUUGAUGCAUUUGACUUGGUUGACAUCCCUUGUCUUCCUUUCACGAAUCUUGGCCAUCCUAUAGAUAUCCUUUUCUCCCUGCUUUGUGUCCAGCCGUUGAUAAAGGUCGUCAUAGGCUUGACCCCGGGCUCUACUAACCGCUCGCUUUGCAGACUUCUUCGCUAUCCUGUACUUCUCUAUGUUUUCUGCACACUUGUCAUGAUGUAAGCGUUUGUAGCAAUCUUUCUUCUCCUUGAUAGCCUUUUGGACAUCUUCGUUCCACCACCAAGUGUCUUUAACUUCCCUUCUGUUCCCUUGACUCAACCCAAACUCUUCUGAAGCUAUCUUUCGGAUGCAUGUCGCCAUCUUCCUCCACAUGAUAUUUGCGUCUUCCUCUCCUGCCCAAGGGCCCUCCUCGAUAACUCUCUUCUUGAAAGUUUGGGCCACAUCCCCUUUAAGCUUCCACCACUUUGUUCUAGUGACCUUGUUAUGCUUAUUUCGUUGUAAACGAAUCUUAAAACGGAAGUCAGCAACGACAAGCUUAUGUUGGGUUACCACACACUCUCCAGGUAUAACCUUGCAAUCUAAGCAGGCAUGCCUGUCCUCUUUUCUCAAGAGGACGAAAUCAAUCUGGCUAGUGUGUUGGCCACUACUGAAGGUCACCAGGUGGGAUUGCCUCUUCUUAAAGAAAGUGUUUGCUAUAAACAUGUCAUAGGCUAGGGCAAAGUUCAGGAUUUCCUCUCCUUCUUGAUUCCUAGUCCCAAAGCCGAAGCCUCCAUGUACACCCUCGAAACUGGUGCUAGAUGUACCCACAUGGCCAUUGAGAUCUCCUCCUAUGAAGAGCUUCUCGCCAACUGGCACACUACUAACCAUGUCCUCUAGGCCUUCCCAGAACUCUCUCUUUGAGUUCUCAUUAAGGCCUACUUGAGGAGCAUACGCGCUGAUAACAUUGAGAACCAAGUCUCCAAUGACCAGCUUGACUAGGAUGAUUCUAUCUCCUACCCUCUUAACAUCUACUACCCCAUCUUUGAGGCUCUUGUCGAUCAAGACGCCUACUCCAUUCUUGUUUGUUGCAGUCCCCGUGUACCACAACUUGAAACCUGUACCUUUCACUUCCUUCGCCUUCUGUCCCUUCCACUUGGUCUCUUGAACGCAUAAAAUAUUUACCCGUCUCCUCACCGCAACGUCAACUAUUUCUCGUAACUUACCUGUUAAGGAACCUACGUUCCAACUGCCUACACGGACCCUAGUUGGCUCGACUAGCUUCCUUACCCUUCGCACCCGCCGAGGAAGAUGCAAAGACCCUUGCUCAUUUUUCACUACACCCGGGCGCCGAUGUAGCGCGCCACUAAGGAUGCGACGACCCGAUCCUUGCUCACUUAUCACCGGCUCCAGAUCAAGAGACAGCGCGUCACUUGAGGGGUGACGACCCGGCCCUUGCUCAUUUAACACCAUACCCGGGUUCCGAUAUGGCGCGUCGCUAAGAGGGUUACGCCCCAACGGUUUUCUUUGUGGUUUCAUCUCCAUAAGAUUUGGCUGGUUUUUUACGUUGGUUUGCCGGACCUAACACAACCCUCCUCCUUUACCGGGCUUGGGACCGGCUAUGUUGAAACGACUCAAGGAAGUCUUCCAAUCAACAUAGGCGGAGUUUAAGAUCAGCAGUAAUGAAGUAUAAAUCAUCGUUGUGGUGUGCUACUCGGUUAAUUGAGCAUUAACACACACAAACAUGACGAGGAUGGUAUAAUCUCCCAAAAUGUGUACUUUGUUAGGUGGGACCCUAUAGCCUUGCAGAAUGUGCUACGUUAGGCAUGCCGAUGGAAACGUGUGACGCAUACGUUUUGUGAACCUGUUGAUAUUAUAUGUGCUUUUAUAUUACCAUAUUUUAUUAAAACACUAAUAUUUAUUACUAGUAAGAUAUAACAUUCUAUCUAGCUUAAAAACUAACCAUAAAUAUUCCAUAAUAACUAGAUUUACCAAACUAAUAUACUAAAUAUACAUAAUAAAUACAAAAUUAACAAGACAAUAAUCAAUAUUUAUGAGCUUAAUAUAUUUAGACAUUAUGGUUGGUCGACGAUAAUCAUGCUAACUUUCCGUAAUUGCUUGAUUGUAAAUAUGCUUAGACUAAUGCCUCUUUGUUCUACAUGGCAAAUAGGGACCACUCUAGGAGACUAGGAUGUUGCUUGAGAUGAAAAUGUCAGAAUUGGUGUAGACUAAUUUCUAUCGGCCGCUGACUUCACUAUUGUAACCAUUAUAUCUUGGGUAAAUUAUAUACGAUUAUCCAGCCAAAGGGCCCAGAUGAUAAAAAACAAUUUUUAAUUGCUAUUUUAGGACAAAUGAAUUAGCAUGGUUCGAAGGAUUACGACCUUCCCCCCAUGACCUUUGUCAUACUGCUUUAGUCUAAUCGACAAAACCAAGAUUAGUUAUCAUCGAAGAAGUUCAUAAGCGAAGUUGUGACGAUGAAAGGAACAUGGUGGUAAUUGGACGAACGACGACACCUUUGUCUAAGAAUGGCAUCUAGAAGAAAUCUCAGACAAAAUAAGACAUGAAUGGCUUGUCAGUACAGCGCAAAUACUGAAACAUGCGCCCUUGAAUAUGAAACAUUUAUAUGUAAGAGGAAGGGAUAAAAAAACUAAUUACUCGUGCCUAAUGAUUUUAUUGGGAAUUUUAAGGCGAGACUUAUGGCAAAGGGUUAUACCAAAAAUAGGGGAGAGAUUAUUUCGAUACUUAUUCACUUGUUUCCCUUCAAAUGGCCAUACAUGUGUUACUUUUUUUGGCUGCCUCGCAUGGUCUUAUCGUUCAUCAGAUGAAUGUUAAGACUGCUUUCCCAAAUGGAGAGCUUAAGGAACAGAUCUACAUUGACUAGCCUAGUGGUUUUAUAUCAAAUGGUAAAGAGGAAAAGGUGUUUAAAAUAAUUGUUUGGUUUAAAACAAGCACCAAAGCACAUGAGAAAAUCGAUAAAGUUCUGACUUUGGCUAAAUUUGUUGUAAAUGAAGUUGAUAAAUGUGUCCAUUACCAGUUUGACAGGGGCGAAGGUAUGACCUUUUUAUAUGUGGACAAAAUAUUAACCUUUUGUAACGAUGUUAAUAUGAUAGAAGAAGUAAAGUAAUUUUUGUCUAGUAACUUAGAAAUAAACAAUCUGGGAGAGGCUAAUGUUGUUCUUAACAAAGAGAUGUUGAGAGAAGGAGGAAAUAGAGGGUUACUCUUGUGCAAUCCUAUUAGGUUGAAAAGUCGCUGAGUCGCUUUGGAUAUAGUGAUUACACGUCUGGUCCAACAACUUAUGACCCAAGUGUGUUAUUAAGGAAAAAUCAUAUAAUUGCAUAUGAUCAAUUGAGAUAUUGUCAAAUCAUGGUCUUCUCAUAUAUUUGGCAAGCCCAACGAUGUCUCAUAUCUGAUUUGUUAUGAGCAAACUCAGUUGCCUUGUCUCCAAUCUAGGGGAGGAUCAUGACAUGCCCUAGAGAGGGUAUUGCGCUUUCUCAAAGGGAUAUGAGUAAUGUCAUUUACUAUACUAGGCACCUAAGAGUACCAGAGUGUUAUAGUCAUGCAAAUAGGAUAUCUGAUGUUGAUUAGAUUUAUGCCACAAGUAGACUUGUGUGCUUCCUUGGAGGUGUGAUUGUUUCAUGGAAGUCUUGUAAGUAGACCAUCUUAACAAGGUCAACAAUAGAAGUAGAACUCACAACAUUAUAUACUACCAAAGUUGAAGUUGAUUGGCUCCGUGAACUCCUUACGGAUUUACCAGUAGUUGAAAAACCAAUACUGGUUAUCUCUAUGAGCUACAAUAAUCAAACAUUUGUAAUCGAAGUAAACAGUUCUAAAGUUAACAUGAUGUCUACAAAGCAUGUAAAAAUGGUUGAAACUGUUAAAACACUAAGAAACUCUAGAUUAAUUAUGUUGGACUAUAUCCAUACAUCGAAUUUGGUAUGCCAGUUUACAGAAGAUUUGUCACAUAAUAUGAUUCAAGGUGCAUCGAGGAAUAUGGGCUUGAGACCCACUUAAUGUCAAUCCAUAGUGGUAGCAGUUUCUAUGUGAUUGGAGAUCCCAUAAAGUAGAAUGGUGAAACAAGCUAGAGAAUGACUGAUGGAGAGACUCCUUAAAUAAAAUCUUGAUAAUUUGAGAUGCACAUUUCUCAUUUGAUGUAUUGUAGGCGAACUAAAAUCUUAAUAUGAUUUGAGUGACUUAUCUAAGCAGGGAUGUUAUCUUACAGAACAUCCUAGAAAGAACACACCUAUAUGAGUUUGCAUGUUAGUCAUAGUCUAUCAUGUGUGGUAAUCUUUAUAUACUCAUGAAAGGCUUGAAGUUUGACUUAUAUGCUUCAAACCAAGGGGGUGCUUGUAACAGUCUAGUACAAGAUAAGAACAUUGGUAAAACUCACUUAACGCAAAAUUGUCAAUUUAAGGCAUAGUUCAUUGUUUAGAUGUGAAUGUGUAAUCCCUGUUCUAGAUGGAUGGUCAACUUAACAGCCUCCACCAAAACCCUGAUAUCUCAAAGAGUAGUGGAUUUGAGUUUGUCUAAUAUGUGGUUUAGAUUUUGGUGGGGAAUUUUAAUAUUUUAUGGGCUUGGCCCAUUUAAGGUAUUUAAUACUUUCAAAAGACAAGAUUAAACAUGUGUGAAUAGUGUCAUGAUUUUUUUCUAGUGCAAAAUAGCCCAACAAAUCAACACAUAUGUGGCUAUCAUUACACAUGUGUAAAGGUAAUGCAUCACACCAUUGUCACCCAUGUAUUUAGAAAAUACCAAGAAGAAAAACAACUUGUUUAUUGUAUUUUAUGGAGAUUAUCUUGCUUACAUAUAAUUAUAACCCAACAAAGUGGUCACUAAAUGUCAAAACCAACUAGGUACCAGGUCAUCUCUAGCUUAUCUUGCUAAUGAUAUUUUUGCAAAAUCCAAAAUUAAUCUUGCACAAGCACAAGGACUGAGAUGUGUAUAAAAAUCUCUUAGAUUAGUAGGUAAUCCAUCACACAAAGCGCAAUAGUGUAGCAAAACUGGCAGUCAAAAUAUUUUGCCUCCUUAUGCUCCUUGCUCUUUCUGCAAGUGCUGCUAACGCGACCAAUUUUCUGCAAUGCUCACAAGAUCCAAUUGCUUCCCUUCUUCCCUCAUACCUCUCACCAGCGACAUCUUCAGUAUGUGAAAACCCAAUUCUUCAACCCUAUAGGAUCCAACAGGCAAUCACAGCAAGCAUCUUACCUUUAUCACCCUUGUUCCUCCAACAACCGCCAGCCCUGUUACAACAAUUACCUUUGGUGCAUUUGUUGGAACAAAGCAUCAAGGCACAACAACUACAACAACCUGUGCUGACAAACCUUGUUGCCUACUCUCAGCAACAAUAGUUUCUUCCAUUCAACCAACUGGCUGCACUGAACUCUGCUGCUUAUUUGCAACAACAACAACAACUUCCAUUCACCCAGCUAGCUGCUGCCUACCCCCAACAAUUUCUUCCAUUCGACUAACUGGCUGCAUUGAACUCUGUUGCUUAUUUACAACAGCAACAACUAAUACCAUGAAACCAGCUAGCUGUUGCGAGCCCUGCUACCUUCUUGACACAACCACAGUUGAUGUCGUUCUACCUGCAAGCUGUGGCUAACGUCGGCACCCUCUUACAACUACAACAAUUGUUGCCAUUCAUCCAACUUGCUUUGACAAAC